rnacentral:lncRNA from 1 species
UGCAGAAGGGCGCGCGCGUAUGGAAUAACAAGUAGGGACACUGCAACUAAUCUACUCUGCUCGUCCAGUCCCUAGCCUAUAAAUAGAUGCCAUGCUAGCUCUUGUUGUGCUCACAAUUAAUCCGAUUACACACGAGCUUCUCUCCCUGGCCAAGACACAACCAUAGUAUGAUGAAGAACAUGGCACUAGCCGGCAAUGGUAUGAAGAAGUUAAUCCUCGCUGUUCUCUUACUGUGUCUAGUUAUAGGGCAGAUACAAGUGGAAGCUAAGAGCUGCUGCCCAUCCACCACUGCAAGAAAUGUCUACAAUACCUGCCGUUUCACGGGUACAUCCCGUCCAACGUGUGCAAAACUGUCAGGCUGCAAAAUUAUCAGCGGGAACAAAUGCAAGCCCCCUAACGACCACCUCACCCUUGACCCGGACACUGGUAAAUAAUAAAUUUAUCUCACUUGAUUUCUUCGUGAUUUGAGUCGUUAAUGUAUUUUCCAUCUGAUGAAACGUAUUGGUUUUGCAUUGAAGAGGAAGUUAAUGUGCUUAACUUCUGCAAGUUGGGGUGUGCGUCGUCUGUGUGCAACAACAUCAACGCUGGUAAGCAACUUUUGCUCAGACAGAGAAAACAAUAAUCAUUAAUUAGCGGCAGCUAGAAUCCUAUAAUCUAAUAUAUAUAUAUAUAUAUAAUUUUAUCAGCUCUGGGAAAUGAAGAGGCGAACGAUGCCGUUGAGAGUUGCGACCAAGCCUGCUCUAGCUUCUGCAGCGUGCAUGUUGGCAGCGCCACCGUGGUUGCUUAAGCAAAUGCAUCCAACUAGAUCGUCCUUGUGCUGAAUAAUUGGAUAUCGUAUCCACUUAAAGCUGCCUUGUGUAGUACGUCUUUGUGUCUCUCUUUAUAUUCCAAUAAGGUCGGUGAUCUUGAUGCCACACACUCAGAUGUGUGUUCAUCUCCAGAUACUACUCCAUGCUACCUGCCCUUUGUGUUUUGUUCAAUAACUGGGUAUCAUAUCCCAGCCAGUAUGCCGUCUGUUUUGUGUUUGUUUCCUUCUAGUUCCAAAGGGGUCAUCAUGAUGUUACCUUCUUUCAAUAUGGUGCUUUGCAUGACUACUGUUGUAUGGUACCAUCUUGUGGCCAAUAAGUACAUCUUAUCCUAUGACCUUUGCUAUGACCCUUUGCAAAUAAGUAGAAGAUUGUUAUAAGCGUCAAUACUCCGUAUAAAUUGAUCGCUGCUGUGAGUUCCCUUUCAGCUUAUCGUAGGCAUACAUUAUUGCUAGCACGGUAAAGCCAACCAACACGAAUGAUGAAGUAAACGUAGCGGUACUUCUGUAUACCAACACCCUUACUUAAAUGUACCGGUGUCAUUCCCUACUGGCACAUAUAUUCUUAUAUGCUAGCCAGCUUGUAAAAUUAACCAAUUAAAAUAAUUAUUUCAAGAUAGAAAUAACUUAUCGGUUUCUGGAAGCAUGUGUAAUGUGAAUUCAAGGACUCGACGGAAGUUGAAUCACUUCAUCUAUAUUGCUUUCAGUAUUUUGGGUAACUAAAUUUAACAUUUGCACAUACAAAUGUUAAAGUACAAAUGUUAAAUCUAGUUACCCAAGCAGAAUAUGAAGAUAGUUUAUAGUAUAUAUAUACUAUAUAAAUCUAGUUAACAUUUAGUCUAAAUGUUAAAUCUAGUUACCUAAAAUCCUGAAAGCAAAAUGUAUAAAUAUAUAUCUUUUAAGGCAGUAUAAGCUUCGAUUCCUAUUGCUGCUCUGUUAAAUCUCAUCUUUCGUUGUGGCCCAACACUCUAGUAUGCAUGUUGCACCAAGCUUCUUUGAGCCGCUCUGCCCUCUGAUUUUGCUGCGUAGGGGAAUCUUUAUCAGGUUGGGCUACUUCCAGUUGUGCGAUGUAAAGAUUCGUAUUUUCUAGAAGGUAGACAAAAAACUCGCGUUCUCUUAAGGCAACAACCGGAAGAUUCUGCAGCGCACAGGGCAUACCAUUAUUGUAGAAACGACCUUUAGUACCGAUCUCCAACCCCCUUUAAAACUGGUUUUGCAACCGGUACCGUUAUGUCGGUCCUUUAGUACCAGAUCAAAUAAGUACCGGUUGGUAACCAGUAUCAACUUGUUUUGCGGCCAAAAAAAUAAAGAAAAAAACAGUCAGAAGGCUCGCGCACACGCGCAUCACAUGAAAUAUGCGUGUGCGGGGUCCAUGGGAUUCGAACCCAUGAAAUCAAGCUGCGCGCGACCCUUCGUUACCAUCUCACCUACAUAGCGCAUAUGCUUUCCUGAAGUAACCCGUGGAGGAGGCUUUAGUACCGGGUCAUAACACCACCCGGUACUAAAAAUGACUCUUCAGUACCGGGUCAUAACACCACCCGAUACUAGUAUCGGAUGGUGUAAUGACCCGAUACUAAAAGGCCUCUAGGGACCCUCAAAUUUGAACCCGGUACUAAUGCUAAUAUUAGUAGCGGGUCAAAGUGCAGCCAGAACUAAAGCAUGGGAUGAAAGGUCAUAUUUCUAGUAGUGUAUAGUUGUUGUGAAGGACUGACUUGGCUGUCCUCUCUCUUCUCCAUCCCCUUGGUCUUACGCCGCCGCUCGCACGCGAGCCGGUGCCCAACCAGAGGAGUGAGAGCUAGGGGCAGGUUGGGAGGUGGGGAUAGUGACUGGUGGCCAGGGUGAUGGUUGAUCCUGGUGGGGUUAGGGUUUUAGGGUUUUCGAGCUUCCUAUGGUCGGCGAACCUAGAGGAGGAGCUCAACAUCAGCUGCAACCCGCGAUGGUGGUGGUUUGGCCGGCGCCCGAGGCGAGGCAGCGCGGGAGUGCUGCCGGUGGGUUGGUGUUGGCACUCAUUAUUGACAACUAUUUUGUUCAUAAAAUAACACUCAAACUUGCUGCUGCUGCUGCUGCUGCCAUCGCCACCCUAGCCAUAAUAUAAAGGCAAAAUUUGCUAAAGGACAUGCAAAAUGAUGCUAGUUUGCUGGCGGGCAUCGUUGACCUUGUAAUAUGCUACAAGACACUCUAGUUGUGUAUCAAUUUGCUGAAAGACAUUGCUAUGACUAAAAUAAUGUUUCUGGACUGAGUUGGAGAGAGAGAUGGAGUGAAAUGUCUGUUUUGCCCAUGACCCCACUGGUCAGAUCCUUCUUCUUCCACCCUCCUUUGUUCUUUCUUCAACCAUUACCCAGCUCCAGCGUGUUGCAGAUCUACGAGGGUGGCGGCCUGGGGCGAGGGGCAUCGCUCGCCCUUGGAGGAGCGCUGCGAGCGACGGCGCGGGGGCGGCAACAGCGCGUCAGAACCUGACUGUUCGUUAGCUCCUCUCGCUGCUGGGGAAGGAGGGGGAUGGGCCAUGGACGGGGUUCCCUUGAAAACCUCAGCGUCGAGCUCGGGCGGCUACGCGCAGGCAGCACUAGGCUGCUUCACGGGGAGGGGGCGCGGCCAAUCAUUGGCACCCCACUGGUCCAAUGCUGAUGAAGAUGGUGCCAGCGUCGUGUGAGGACAUCUCAUCUCCUCGAGUUCCAUGGCCAGCACAGGUGAGCUGCCGCUACCACAAAACAGAGGUUUCGUGAGAGUCAAAAAACCUUAUGAAAAUAGCUAAAACCAUCAUGAAAAUAAUCCGUGACAUGACACUCUCACGAAAAUCCUCUCACAAAUAUGGUGCCAUGAAAAUACCAUUUUCAUGAGAGUGAACUGUCAUGAUUUUAUUUCGUGAGAGUAUUUCCUAUCAAUGACCUCCACGAAAUACUUUGUGCCACCAGGUCUUCAAGAUCAUUUUCAUGAGAGCUGAACAUCAGGAAAAGUCCGCCACAAAUGUUUUUCUUGGAGCCCCUAACUCUCAUGAAAAUCAUGCGGGCCGCCACGAAAAACAGCAUGACCAAAUGACAAAUUUCAUUUUCAUGUGUUCAUACCGCCAUGAAAAUGGUCAUUUUCAUGAGAGUUGAUGAAACAAAAAAUAGUGCCAUUUUCAUGAGAGUUCAAGCAACCAGGAAAAGACACUAAUAAACAUCCAGAUCCCAUCCAGCACACAUCCAUGCACAUAUAUAACCCACAUAUUGCUCCAGCACACAUCCAUGCAUAUACAAGAUCCAAAUGUUAAUAUAGUAGACAUCCAUGCCUGAACUAGUCUGCCACACAAGUCAUUGAUGCUACAAAUCCUACAAUCGCAGCAUGUGCAUACAAGUCACAGAAUGAGACAAUGUACCCAAAACUAAAAGGUUAGCAUCAACUGUGCUUCAACCAAAGUUGUCAUCCCAACUCUCCUCUUCAUCCAUGCCAUUCUUGUCGUGGCCGUCACUGUCAGUCCCCAUGGCAUUGCCAAUGCUGUGCAUGUCUUGGUAGGAACCUACAUGUGAUGAACUAGUAACCUGCAAAAAGAGCUCAAAGGAUCUUGUUCUCAUAUUGUAGCUGUGAAAUUCUUACAAGUAGUGUUGCAAUCAGUUCACUUUGAACCAAAAGAGCUCAAAGGAUCUUGUCCUAAAAGUUCCUCAUAAAGCUUAUGGGUUUGCUGGUGGAACUGGAAGGGCUUGAUGCAGCAGAUGCCAUUCUGCAAUAGAGAAAAAUUUAGAGAGCAGUACUAGUUAAAAUUGGAUGCAGAAGAUACACAUGAAACUAGUAUUUAUACAAGUCUAUACAAUUAAAAUCUAAGGAGACUUAUCAUCGUUUUCAUGUGUUGUGAAUUAAAAUAAUGAAGGAUACACUGUUAGGUGAAAAUUCAAGAAACAAAAUUUUGCAUAGAGAUAAAGGUCCAACAUUAUUACAAGUUAAGGUAGUUUUAAAUAUCCUUGUAAUCUUCCUUUGGUUUCCUCAACGAUUCGAAGACAAUAACCUUGCUUCUAUCAAUGAUAAUUAUAAGGAGAAUCCAGUGGAAACUGUGUAUUCGUAUUAGAACUACCUAAGGUUAAUUAGGUUAGGAAAGGAAAUUGAAAAUAGAUGGUACCCACACUUACUUAAAGUUGUCGGGCAAUAGUAUGUAAUGCUUGUAAUUCCGUUGCUCCAAGAAUUUGUAUAUGUGGUCCAAUGUAGACUUUGGUUGAUCCCGUAUCUGCUGUUGGUUAAAUAAGUGUUUCUAGCCAUUUCUAGCCAUUAGAACCGGGACUAAAGGGGGCUCUUUAGUACGGGUUGAUAUUACUAACCGGGAUUAAAGAGCCCCCAUUAGAGUUGGUUUUUGGAUGCGGAACUAACAACUCCUUUAGUCCUGAGUACGAAAACAACUGACAUAUUUGUUGCUGGAUGGAAGGUCCUUUCUCUACCGUGAAUAUUGCCAGAAAGAAUUGAAAGAGACUGCUUGCUAAAAAUAUGUCAUAGAUGUAGACCAAGCUACCAAGGAGGUAGACCAAACAUGAUACACACCAUGCGUACCUUGCUGUGCAGACUAUGCAUUGACAAGAUACCCGACCACAUGUUGGCCUCGGUCACAUCAAAAGAAUCAUGUAGGCCACCAAUAAACUACUUGAAGCGGCAUUCCGUAUCGUAUAUGCAUUGCCGGUUCAUCUGCAUUACAUUACAUAAAGCACUAUUAACUAUUUGAAUAAAAUGAACCAAUUUAAAAGUAAUGUGUUGUACUCUACUAUAGAAAGCCCUAUCACUGCCGGAUCCAAAAACAUCAUUGUUAAUGGUGGUUAAGUACCAAAUAUGACGGUCAAUAUUCUCAAGAAUAAUGGAGAAUUAGCAUUUCUUAGACACAUAUUUGGUUUUGAACAAUGUAGUUCCACAUGUCUUUGGAGAUUAUUUGGGUGUGGGUGAAAUAAUACAAAAAUAAGGAGAAAACACACUCCCAUGGCGAAGAAACACAACUCCAACCAAUGAGAGAUAGCCACAGGGGCAGCACACGGAUCCAUGGGCCCACUAACCGCAUCAAACCAUCUUACCAAGGCAGGUAGCACCCACAACCGUCAUUAGGACCCACCUGGAAGUCUACCAAGAAGAAGGUUGCGAGUGGGGCCAGGAGGGGUUCGGUUGAAUCAUCUCUAGCUAGCUCCCCUCAUCCCCAGCUGGUGGGUGGUGGUGGUUGAUGGUGUCCCUACAUCAGUUAGAGGAGAUUCCCCCAAAUAUUCCUCCUGUAAACCACCUCUAUGGACCUAUACAUAGAGGGGUGUGCUCUCCAUUCCAACACACACCACAAGUUGAAUCACUCUCUCCCUCUUUAGUUUCCAAGUUUAUGGAGUUAGGCUAGAGUAGCUCUGCUCAAGGUUCCAAGUCCACUUGGAGUUAAGCAUAUGUCUCUUGUAUCGUUAUUUCCUAAAUUGACUUUAUGCUUAGUUCUUAUAUGCAUGAGUUAGUCUAAUACCCUUGCUAUAUUGAUAUGCUCGGCUUAUAUGCUCGUAUGCUAGUCAUAUACCCUUGCUGUCGUAGUAUAGGCUUAUAUGCUCUCAUGUGUGCCUGUAGACCUUGCUAUAGUAUAUACUUGUUGUGCAUACAUACCAUGUAUAGGCUAGUCGAUCUAUACCAUGGCAUUGGUUCAAUAGCCAUGUUUUUGGUGGCUCCAACCCUAGUCACAAUAGCUCGGGACAGCUGGAGUGUUGUUAAAAAUGCAAGAGUGGUGCUUGGGUUGUUUAGCAUCGUUGGAUAUGGGUUUGCCCCACGGGUUUCUAACGGUAGGCGGCAGCUAGUGACAUCCCUGUCCGUCCUUCGUAAUCCCCCCACAUUCAGGUACGCCAUAAAUGUUCGUAAAUUAGCAGUAACUACGCCGGUACACCUGUAGGGUAUUGUCUCCCUGUAGUACCUUGGUGCAUAGAACUAAGUCCUAUACACUGUGUGUGUAUGUUUACGCUGAUAUGAUCUGUGCAGUAUAUAGGAUGUAUAUAUGAACCUAGAGCUAACUCCUAGUCCGUUCUCCAUAGCUUAGUUAUCUUGAGAUGAUUCUUCUGUAUGUGUAACACUACCCAUCUUAUCAUUAUCCUUGAUCCUGUCUUGUGUAAUAUAUCUACUCAUCCUAUGAUAUACUCAUAUGCAUAGUAAACUAUUUUGACCUACCCGCCUUCCUUUGGGAAAUAUGAUACCUUGGAAUAAUCCUAGGUGAAAUCCUACAACGGUAUAUCCAUGUAAAUGCGGAUUUAUUCAUGACCAUUAAAUAUACCAACAAUCAUCACUGUGAGUUUUGGGCGUCGUUAGUGAAGGGUUGGUAGUGAUGGGCAUCCCCUUCACCAAUGGACCUGGAACCGGCGGUGAUGGCUAUUAUAAAAAAGGGGACACCACCCAGCGUACCCCACGACCCGGCCGGCCGCACCUCCCAUCAUCCCCGCCAGCCGCCCUUCCUUUUCGCCGGCCGAGCAUGGUCCCGGCCUUUGUCCCUACCACCUCGCCUCCACCGCGACCCCCCGCCGAUGCCCUCGUGCCUGGCCCCCCUCAUCUUGCCGGCCACCCUCCCGAUGCGUCCACUGGGGCCCUCGCACCACCAACCGCCCUUGCUUAGAGAGGGAGAGAGAGGAGGGAGGUGAGGCCACGCACCUCGUCCUACACCGCCGCUGUUUCUCCUCGGCCCACCGCGCCUCACCCCACACCACAGCCGCGCCUUGCCAUCUUACCGGCUGUGACGCCUCAUCUCACCGGCCACCGUUCCUCACCCCCACUUCGGUCGUCGCCGCUCCUUGCCCUACCGCUGCUCUUUGCCGCUGCGAAUGAGCGCCGAGUGGAGGAGGAGGGAUGGGGCAGGAGGAGGGCAAGAUCCGGGAGGAAGGGAGAGAUCUCGGGAGGUGGAGAUGGAAGGAUAUGGCGGAAGGGAGAGAUCCAGAGGGAGAGAGCAGGGGAGAGAGGGGGGCGUGUGGGGAGAGAGCGCGUGUGGGGUGGGGCCGGGCUGGUGGGAUGGAAGGGAGAGGGGCUAGACGGGCGCAGUGCAUUCAACUGGAUGAAGUAAAUAUUUUGGAUUCGAGACCCCAGCUUUAUUAUCACCGCUGGUCCGUAGUACCAUCCGGUGCCUGCUCGUAAUUUAAUUUGAAUCUGCGGUGAUGUUUUAUUAUCACCAUCGGAUCAUAUAAAAAUCCGGCGGUUAAAAAUCCGCUGGUUUCGAUGAAAACCGACGGUGAUAGGAUGACUGUGAUAGUCUCUUCUCUAGUAGUGGUAUAUUAGUACCGGCUGCCGGAUGGUGUUGCCGACCAGUACUUCUCCGGGGGCGAUUCAGUACUGCUGUUAGCAAAGCUUGUUCUCUAUGAAUUUGGGGAUGGAAAGCUAGUUCUCUAGUUGUGAUUUGUUACAUAUAUAUCUAUGAUAGUCUAGAAAUUGCAUGUCCUUCGUUGACAUAGUUGAAGCUGCUUCAAGAAUUUACUUCGUGCAGUCGUGCAGCAUAUUGGAUUAUCACCUAGACAGGAUACAUAGGUGAAGCAUUGGAUGUGAUUGUGGCCGAUAAUUAUGCAGGACGCUGUUGCAAUCAACCACCAAGAAGUCUGGAGUGAUGGGGUUGCCUCAUCAAUAAUUUUUAUAUAUGGCUGCAGUAUUAUUAAGCCCACGUCAAUAAUUUUUUGUCCGCACCAUAUAUCGAUGGGGUUGCCUCAUCAAUAAUUCGCGCAACCAGACAAGCUGCAGACUCAAUAUGGUACGAAGCUAGUUGCUCAGCCCACAUGCUCUGAUAUAACAUUGACAUCUGCUGAUCUACAGUAUAUAUGACCAGAAAUAUUGUGCCCACCUCAAUAACUUUCUGAAGUAUCGUGGGGAAGAACCUACGCGUACUAUGCCUCGGAACUAACUGACAUAUCGGCCCAGGCGGUCUAGGCCGAUUGGACUGGCUCUUCCUUGUGGCUUCUCACAUCCCCUUCGUCCCCAAGUAAUUUCAGGUGUUCUGUAGUUUUCUUUUCACUUGCAUCUGAGCCUCCUAUAUCAAUAGCUUCGGGAUAAGAAUGCCUCUUGAUAACCUUCCAAAUCCUCGCUUGAUUCACAUUGAUUCCGAAAUCAUCUUGCCAUAUCUUCAGAGACUUAGGUCCUAAGGCAUCAUGGAGGAUUGCUCGCCAAGAAUGAGCACCAUUGGGCUCCUGAGGACCCUAGGCCGAUCAGCCCGGGCUCUAUAGGUCGAUUGGCCCAGGCCCUCUCUGGGCCUGUUGGCCUUCAUCUUUCUUUGAGUCGACGCUUAUUCAGGGCUUUGUCCAAUUAUAGUCCAUUAUAGUCUAAUUUCCUAAAAAACAGAAUGUCCUCCAAAAUACAAUGCAUAUGUGAAAACAACCCAAUUAUUAGGUAUGAUCAAUAGUUUAGGUAUUAAAUUAAUAUUAUUAUUUAAGAUAAACAGGGGUAAAGGGUGUCAUUAAUAACAAGCGCCAACAAGCGUCCUAGCUGUUCAAUAAAUUUUUUCUAGUACCGAUUGGUAACACUAACCGGUGCUAAUAUGUACCCUUUAUUACCGGUUAUUUUACCAGGUACUAAAGGAGACAAGAGCAUCCUAACAUAAGGUUAAUAUCAUCCAUUUCAUGAGUAAAAUACUAUGAUUCAAAAAUAAUUCAAAUCCCUUAAGACAAUACCUAUCAAAUGAGUAAAUUGUAAAUAGAGUAAUCUUGAUCAAACAAUGUCCUAAUGAAACGGAACACUUCUGGUUCGUGUAGAGCACAAUAUAGAAAACAGUAGGGUAGCUGUAUGAUUGACACGUGGUCCAUUAAUUAUUGAGCCAACACUAUGGACAUGUCUUCAUGAGUAGUGUACUAGUCAUAAUACAUGGUAUGCAGUAGGUGGAGGUAUUGACUUAGCCAUGCUAUGAGCACUUAGUUACAACAAACACUUUGCCAUUAUCGAGCAUCCCAAAUCACUACAAAAUCCAUAGUUUACCAUAUACUACAAAAUCUGAGUUAAAAUAAGAGCAUACACGGAAGAGUCCGAAUGCACGGCACAUUGAAUUACUAGACAAAAUUUAUGGGACAAGGUUUUGGGUAACCGCAUGAAAAAUAUUGGAUUUUACUGAACACUUAGUUACAAUUACCAUGCCCGUGAGCACUUAGUCACCACAAACAUUUAACCACUUUAGAUCAUCCUGAAUCCCUAUAAAUUCUAUACCUUACACCGUACCAUGAAAACGACAAGAACAGAGACAGAUGCGGUGAAAAUCUCCAGAGCAAGCCUGAAAUUAAAAUAAGAGGAGGCAGUCACUAUCGACAGGACACGGAGAUUGCUAGCCAUGACAGAGGAAGACAUGAUAUGAUAUUCACCUCUGAAAUGCAGCGUAGACUAAAUGAAGCACAAUUGCAAGUGAGUGUGGCAGAUAAUGGACCAUCGAGACCAUCGAAUGGUAUGAAGCAUGAUUAUCACCUAGACAUGAUAUCCUAGACAGGACGGUGAAUUGUAAAAAGAGUAAUCUUGAUCAAAGAAUGUCCUAAUGAAACGGAACAUUUUUGGUACGUGUAGAGCAAAAUAUAGAAAACAGUAGAGUAGUUGUACGAUUGAAACUGCAUCCAUCGACGUGGUGCAUGAAUUGUUGAGCCAACACUGUGGACAUGUCUUCAUGAACACCAUCUAGUGAGGACAGCAUGCAGAAAAAUAUAAAAACAUGUCAUAGGGAGGCAGACCAAUCUUGCGAGGUAGACGAAACGUGAUACACGAUCUGCCUACCUUGUCGUGUGGAUACCCCAAGUGAAGAUGUCAUAGAGGUGCAGACCAAGCUAGCAAGGAGGUAGAUGAAACGUGAUACACGGCCUGCCUACCUUGCCGUGGAUAUUAGUCCUGAUAUCAUUCUAUUGUUCAAGGAAUAACACUCAAUGCUGCUGCUGCUGCUGACCUGGCUCCAUAAAGUUAUAUUCCUCUAGCCGCUUGCACUAACUUUAUCUGAAGUAUUAUUCUCUCUGCACUGUAUAUAUGGUUACGGAGUUUGCUGGAGUAUCCGGGGGGAAGAACCUACAUAAUAUGUCUUGGAACUAACUGACAUUGAUUCACAGACAAGGUGCUGUUGUUGACAUGGUACAGUAAAUAAUAUAGUUUACCAUAUACCGUAUACCAUUAUAUGUUAGCUAAAAUAAGAGCAUAACAUGUCGCAGGAGUCCAAAAGCACCGGUUGAGGACCAGGUACAUUAAAUUACUAGAAAACAAAAGGGGACAAGGUUUAGGUAGCCACAUGAAAAACAUUUGAAUUUACUGUACCAUGAACACUUAGUUACCAUGCCGGGAGCACCUAGUUAACACUAACAUUUAGCCACUUUAGAUCAUCCCGAAACACCAAUGACCCUCAAUAGCGACAAAUUUUGGUUUAAAUGCCGUCACCAAUGAUCCUCAAUAGUGACGUGUUUAGGUUUAAAUCCCAUCACUAAUAACCCUUGGUAGUGACGUGUUUUGGUUUAAAUCUCAUCACCACUGAUCCUCACUAGUGACGUGUUUUUAGCAACACACGUUAUGAAUGACUUGUCAUUGGUGACAUGUUAAACGCGUUAUCUCAAUGGCAAAUCAAUGGUGACGUGUUUAAAAAAACAUGUCACUGUGAGAGUUAUUGGUGAAGGGUAAUUAAAAUGCAUCACUAAUUUUGUAGCAUUAGUUAUGAUAUAAUUUUGUAACGCAAAAAUCUACCAUAGUAAUGAGGUUUAGAGCCAUCACUAAUGUGGGUUUCUUAUCGUAGUGAUGCAAGCUCUACAAGGUGCUGUUGUUGCCAUUUUAAAGCAUCCCAAAUGACUACAAGAGUCCGGUUGAGGACUAAACAAAUUGAAUUACUAGAACCAAAUGUAUGUCCAGAACAAAGAAAGGGGUCAAGGUUUGGGUAACCGCAUUAAAAACAUUGAAUUUUACUGUACCAUGAACACUUAGUUACCAUUACCAUGCCUUGAGCACCUAGUUACCACAAACAUUAAUUUAGCCACUUUAGAGGUUCCACAAUCACUAUAAAUAAUAUACCAACACCGUACCAUGAAAACAUCAAGAAGAGAGACGGGUACAUGGACCACCAUCAAGUGAGUAGUGACAGCACGCACAAGAAUACCCGGAACCUUUUAGCUUGUCUGUAGUGAUCUGUUUUCUUCGCCACAAAUAAUGAAAGAGGCUGACCAAGCUAGCAACGAGGUAGAGCAAACGUGAUACACGUAGGUUUCAUUCAAGACAUCCAUGUAAGAUUCAUUCAAAACAUUCAUGGAAAUUUCUUGUAAGUUUUCAUGUAAAUUUCAUUCAAGACAUUUGUUAGAGGUGUUGUAUAUACACUUAACGUACAUAUAUCUAUGAUUUCAUGGUUGUUAGUGAUGGCAGAUGAGGAGCAUGCAAGGUGUUUAAUGGAGCAGAUUAUUGCUAGUGGUAGUGGCUCCAACCUGCCCGUAACGUACACCGACGAAGAGGGCAGCCAGGCGGACAUGUUCCUCAACAUGUCCGGUGAUGGCAAUGAAGAGCCCGAGCAAAACCUUGCCGUGACGGAAGGUUCCAUCGAGGUAUAUAUCAUUUCCAUUAUUUUACCCCAUCUAUAAUUUCAUAUUCAUUAUUACUAUGUGCUAAUUAAUGAAUCUUGAACCGUUAGUCCUCUAGAUCAACGAACCGAAAUAAGCCCCGAGGUCUUACAAAGAUAAUGCAGGGAAGGCUUCACAUCAUGGAAGUCACAGAAGAGGGCACAUCGGUUGCUCCCGAACAUGUGGCAAGAAAGUACGUGAGUCAAACCGGGGCAAUCGUAAGGGACAACAUGCCCAUCAGCAUCAGGGAAUGAAAGAGCAAUAGAAAUGAUCUAUACGCACCCCCGGAUACACAAAAGGAUAUGUUGUGGGCAAAUAUCAAGAAACACUUCACAUUUCCCAAAGGAUAUGUUGAAAAAUAUGUGAAAGCGUGGAUGUUGAAGAAGAUGGCCACCCAAUUCCAGACAUUCAAGAAGAUGUUGGAUGCCAACUUCAUCAAGAAGGGUCGAACUCCGGGUUUCAAUGAGUGGCCAAAGUUAAGGGACCACUGGGAGUCGUUUGUCGAAUACAAGACGAGCGAAGGUGGUGCGAGUAAGGUUCACAUCAAUGUUGCCAAUGCUAGCAAGGAGUACCAUCAUCAUCUAGGGCGACGUGGUUACAGCUCUGCAAUUCCCAGAUGGCGCAAGAUGGAACAAGACCUGAUCGAUCGGGGUAUCGUACCAGCAACUCUUGACUGGAUCGAUUGAAAAAUUGGUAUUAUGCUCAUGAAGGCAAUCUGAGCCAAGAGGAUCCGACAUUGGUCUUCAAUAAAACAAUACGUCAGAAGGUCGGAAGGCUUAUUAGGAACAUUGAAGAUGCUAAAGCUGGGAGGUUCAAGGUGGAUAGAGAGAAUGAUGAACUCACAUUGGCCCUCGGGACUGUCAUCUCUAGCACUUCCAGCUCCAGGACUAUCGUCACCACCGGGACCGUCGCUUCCUGCUCGAUCACAGUCUCCAUCUCCAGCACAUCCUGGUGGUGCGAGCGACGACGACAACAACACCCCUCCCUGCCCACCAUUGCCGGGACUAAGACCCGCAUUGAGUAAGGAACCUGCAACACCACUGAAGAAGUCGCGACCACCACCUUCAAGGCAAGUCAGCAAAAGAAGAAAGCAGAGAAGCCUAAACCCACUGAGAAGCCAGCGACUGAUAUGACCGAUGCGGAAAGAUGGAAGGCACUCAAAGAAGAAUGCAGGGAGUGGUUCAGCGAAGGCGAAGGUGAGAAAGUCGUAUGAAUCGAAUUCAAGGAUAUAUAUGAAGUGAACCAUCAGGAUGCCCUUGAUGUCUCUCUCAUCAGCGCCUAGGUUCUGUAAGUGUAUGUUUAUCUAUAAGUAAAUUUUGGCUCAUAUCAUUAUUUUUUUUGCGUGCGUCACCCUACUAACUUCGUCUUCCAUUUUAUGUAGGAUGCUAAUUCAGACGUGCCGCAUAGAAGCGUACUUCCAUGUUGGAUUCAUGGAUCCAUCCCUAGUUAACCAAAAGCCGAUACGGAAGUAGCUAGAGAAAACGUUGGAGGUGGUGUACAACCUCCUGGACAAACUAAACUACAGAAUAGGGGCAAUAUGUGAGGGUCUUGUAGGAUUCCUAGUGGACGAGGUGAUAAAUCCAUAAGGAGAAUAUCAUUCCAACGGACGAGCAUUAGACACACUGAGCAACACCUAGAUGGGAGGAUCCUAGGAAUGACCUCGACAGAUUUUGGUAUAAAUAGUAAUUGUGUAAAUACUAGUUUGAUUUGUAUAGGAAUAUACUAAGAAUUGUAUAUAUAGUAAUUGUACAAAUACUAGUUUGAUUUGUAUGAAUACUAGAUUGAUUUUAUUAUAAAAAAGUUUUAAGUCGUACGUGCAUGCGCCUACAAAGGCGCGGAUGCCUUUUAAUCCCAGUCGGAAAAACAAACUGGUACUAAAGGGGCUCGUGCCGCACCUGGCAUGACCACCCCUUUAGUCCCGGUUGAACGACCCAGGACUAAAGAUCUCCGCGUCUCAAAAAUUUUAUCUCGGAUGCUUUUUAGAGAGAUUUGAGGCCUAUCAACCAAGACUAAUAUCGAGUUUUCUACCAGUGAAACUAACUAACGUUCACAUGGUUUUGACAUUCACCUGCCAUUUGGUGUAGACAAGGGCACCCUAACAUAUGGUUAAUAUUAUUCUUGAAAGAAAAUCCUUUGAUUCAAAAUACUUCAAACCUAAUAAUACAAUACUUCUCACAUCUGAAAAAUAUGAGACGGCCCGACAGUAUUCUAAUCGACGCAAUAAUAUUUUGAGGGCAGCACUACUACAGCGACCCUCAUUCGUGCCGGUGCUGGGACUCCUAUCACGACCCUGAUACAAAUGAGGGUACAUUAUUGGUGCCAGUGCUAGAACAGCCACGAAUAACUUGCUAAACGUGCUGUUACACUCACUACAGGGACCAAGAAGGUAGAUAAAUUACACGACAUAGCCUUGGUUGCCGUGGAAGCGCCAAGAAGGGAGACAAAUUACAGGGACCACACCAUCAAGUAGAUAGUGACAAUAUGCAAAAGAAUACCCGCGCCUGUUAGCAUGUGAACUGACCACACCACGAAACGUGAUACACGGCAAGCGUACCAAGGCCUUGCUGUGCAGACUAUGCAUGGACAACACAUGGUACCUGACCGCUUUUGGCCUCAGACACAUCGAAAAACUGCAUCGUUCCACGUUGUACAUCCAUUGCUAGUUUAUCUAUAUUACAUAAUAUAUUAUUAGCUAUUUGAAUAGAAUGAACCAAUUAAAAAAUUGCGUUGUAUUUUUAGUACCGGCUGCAGGAUGGUGUUACCAACCAGUACUAAUUGGCCUGUAGGAGUGAUGGUUAUUAGACUUGGUACUGUUGUUAGCAUCAUUAACCUAAUUGUGCGCCGUAUGAAUUUGGGGAUGCAAAGCUAGCUCUCUAUGAAUGUGAGGGAUGGAAAGCUAGUUCUCUAGUAGUAAUUAUAUAUAUGACAGUCAAGAAAUCGAACACUAUGCUGCUACGAGUCACCAUCAUUUCCUUCAUUGACAAUCUGACAUAGGUGAAGCUGCUUCAAUAAUUUCCUUCGCGCAGUCGUGGAGCUUAUUGGAUUAUCACCAGGACGGGACACGGAAAUGGCCAGCAAUGAAGCUGAUUGCCGUCUGAGGAAGACUACAUACUUACCUAUGAAAUGAAGCGAUUGCAUAGACUAAUGAAGCAUUGCAUAUUUGCAUGUGAGUGUGGCAGAUAAUUCUGCAGGACAUGAUUGCAAUCCACGCACCAUCGAGAAGACUGGGGCGAUGGGGUUGCCUCAUCAAUAAUCACGUGGAUGCAUGCAUGCAUGUUCCCGCAACCGGACAAGGGUCUGAUAUAUGGCUAUAGUAUUACUGAGCCCACAUCAAUAAUUUCCACUGGUGUAUCGUGUGGGAAGAAUCAACAUACUACACCUCGAGUUCUUGGAACUAACUGACGUUCACAUGCAACCUCCACAAGGUGCUGUAUGCUUUUGACAUUCACCUGCCAGUUCGUGUAGAGAAGGACACCCUAACGUAUAGUUAAUAUUAUCCAUUUCAUGAGUAAAAUACUGUGAUUCAAAAAUACUUCAAAUCCCUUGAGACAAUACUUCUCACUUGACUAACCACUAACCAACCCCGAAACCCUAACUCAACUCCGAACCCUAACCCCUAACGGCAUAACCACUCCGUUUUGCCGGCGAGAUGGAGGAACUGGCUGGAAGGUAGAGAGGGCAGCGGUCCAGGGUUGAAAACGACGGGCGAGCGCAGUAACAUGUGGAGGAGGAAGUGCCACGUAUUCGUUCACCGCUAUUGGGCAGCGACACACGACACGCCCAAUAAGAUCUUCGCACGGUAGAAGGACGUCAUGUAUUCAAUAAUGUUAUUGGUCCCCCAUGUGCAGAAGGGCGCGCGCGUAUGGAAUAACAAGUAGGGACACUGCAACUAAUCUACUCUGCUCGUCCAGUCCCUAGCCUAUAAAUAGAUGCCAUGCUAGCUCUUGUUGUGCUCACAAUUAAUCCGAUUACACACGAGCUUCUCUCCCUGGCCAAGACACAACCAUAGUAUGAUGAAGAACAUGGCACUAGCCGGCAAUGGUAUGAAGAAGUUAAUCCUCGCUGUUCUCUUACUGUGUCUAGUUAUAGGGCAGAUACAAGUGGAAGCUAAGAGCUGCUGCCCAUCCACCACUGCAAGAAAUGUCUACAAUACCUGCCGUUUCACGGGUACAUCCCGUCCAACGUGUGCAAAACUGUCAGGCUGCAAAAUUAUCAGCGGGAACAAAUGCAAGCCCCCUAACGACCACCUCACCCUUGACCCGGACACUGGUAAAUAAUAAAUUUAUCUCACUUGAUUUCUUCGUGAUUUGAGUCGUUAAUGUAUUUUCCAUCUGAUGAAACGUAUUGGUUUUGCAUUGAAGAGGAAGUUAAUGUGCUUAACUUCUGCAAGUUGGGGUGUGCGUCGUCUGUGUGCAACAACAUCAACGCUGGUAAGCAACUUUUGCUCAGACAGAGAAAACAAUAAUCAUUAAUUAGCGGCAGCUAGAAUCCUAUAAUCUAAUAUAUAUAUAUAUAUAUAAUUUUAUCAGCUCUGGGAAAUGAAGAGGCGAACGAUGCCGUUGAGAGUUGCGACCAAGCCUGCUCUAGCUUCUGCAGCGUGCAUGUUGGCAGCGCCACCGUGGUUGCUUAAGCAAAUGCAUCCAACUAGAUCGUCCUUGUGCUGAAUAAUUGGAUAUCGUAUCCACUUAAAGCUGCCUUGUGUAGUACGUCUUUGUGUCUCUCUUUAUAUUCCAAUAAGGUCGGUGAUCUUGAUGCCACACACUCAGAUGUGUGUUCAUCUCCAGAUACUACUCCAUGCUACCUGCCCUUUGUGUUUUGUUCAAUAACUGGGUAUCAUAUCCCAGCCAGUAUGCCGUCUGUUUUGUGUUUGUUUCCUUCUAGUUCCAAAGGGGUCAUCAUGAUGUUACCUUCUUUCAAUAUGGUGCUUUGCAUGACUACUGUUGUAUGGUACCAUCUUGUGGCCAAUAAGUACAUCUUAUCCUAUGACCUUUGCUAUGACCCUUUGCAAAUAAGUAGAAGAUUGUUAUAAGCGUCAAUACUCCGUAUAAAUUGAUCGCUGCUGUGAGUUCCCUUUCAGCUUAUCGUAGGCAUACAUUAUUGCUAGCACGGUAAAGCCAACCAACACGAAUGAUGAAGUAAACGUAGCGGUACUUCUGUAUACCAACACCCUUACUUAAAUGUACCGGUGUCAUUCCCUACUGGCACAUAUAUUCUUAUAUGCUAGCCAGCUUGUAAAAUUAACCAAUUAAAAUAAUUAUUUCAAGAUAGAAAUAACUUAUCGGUUUCUGGAAGCAUGUGUAAUGUGAAUUCAAGGACUCGACGGAAGUUGAAUCACUUCAUCUAUAUUGCUUUCAGUAUUUUGGGUAACUAAAUUUAACAUUUGCACAUACAAAUGUUAAAGUACAAAUGUUAAAUCUAGUUACCCAAGCAGAAUAUGAAGAUAGUUUAUAGUAUAUAUAUACUAUAUAAAUCUAGUUAACAUUUAGUCUAAAUGUUAAAUCUAGUUACCUAAAAUCCUGAAAGCAAAAUGUAUAAAUAUAUAUCUUUUAAGGCAGUAUAAGCUUCGAUUCCUAUUGCUGCUCUGUUAAAUCUCAUCUUUCGUUGUGGCCCAACACUCUAGUAUGCAUGUUGCACCAAGCUUCUUUGAGCCGCUCUGCCCUCUGAUUUUGCUGCGUAGGGGAAUCUUUAUCAGGUUGGGCUACUUCCAGUUGUGCGAUGUAAAGAUUCGUAUUUUCUAGAAGGUAGACAAAAAACUCGCGUUCUCUUAAGGCAACAACCGGAAGAUUCUGCAGCGCACAGGGCAUACCAUUAUUGUAGAAACGACCUUUAGUACCGAUCUCCAACCCCCUUUAAAACUGGUUUUGCAACCGGUACCGUUAUGUCGGUCCUUUAGUACCAGAUCAAAUAAGUACCGGUUGGUAACCAGUAUCAACUUGUUUUGCGGCCAAAAAAAUAAAGAAAAAAACAGUCAGAAGGCUCGCACACACGCGCAUCACAUGAAAUAUGCGUGUGCGGGGUCCAUGGGAUUCGAACCCAUGAAAUCAAGCUGCACGCGACCCUUCGUUACCAUCUCACCUACAUAGCGCAUAUGCUUUCCUGAAGUAACCCGUGGAGGAGGCUUUAGUACCGGGUCAUAACACCACCCGGUACUAAAAAUGACUCUUCAGUACCGGGUCAUAACACCACCUGAUACUAGUAUCGGAUGGUGUAAUGACCCGAUACUAAAAGGCCUCUAGGGACCCUCAAAUUUGAACCCGGUACUAAUGCUAAUAUUAGUAGCGGGUCAAAGUGCAGCCAGAACUAAAGCAUGGGAUGAAAGGUCAUAUUUCUAGUAGUGUAUAGUUGUUGUGAAGGACUGACUUGGCUGUCCUCUCUCUUCUCCAUCCCCUUGGUCUUACGCCGCCGCUCGCACGCGAGCCGGUGCCCAACCAGAGGAGUGAGAGCUAGGGGCAGGUUGGGAGGUGGGGAUAGUGACUGGUGGCCAGGGUGAUGGUUGAUCCUGGUGGGGUUAGGGUUUCAGGGUUUUCGAGCUUCCUAUGGUCGGCGAACCUAGAGGAGAAGCUCAACAUCAGCUGCAACCCGCGAUGGUGGUGGUUUGGCCGGCGCCCGAGGCGAGGCAGCGCGGGAGUGCUGCCGGUGGGUUGGUGUUGGCACUCAUUAUUGACAACUAUUUUGUUCAUAAAAUAACACUCAAACUUGCUGCUGCUGCUGCUGCCAUCGCCACCCUAGCCAUAAUAUAAAGGCAAAAUUUGCUAAAGGACAUGCAAAAUGAUGCUAGUUUGCUGGCGGGCAUCGUUGACCUUGUAAUAUGCUACAAGACACUCUAGUUGUGUAUCAAUUUGCUGAAAGACAUUGCUAUGACUAAAAUAAUGUUUCUGGACUGAGUUGGAGAGAGAGAUGGAGUGAAAUGUCUGUUUUGCCCAUGACCCCACUGGUCAGAUCCUUCUUCUUCCACCCUCCUUUGUUCUUUCUUCAACCAUUACCCAGCUCCAGCGUGUUGCAGAUCUACGAGGGUGGCGGCCUGGGGCGAGGGGCAUCGCUCGCCCUUGGAGGAGCGCUGCGAGCGACGGCGCGGGGGCGGCAACAGCGCGUCAGAACCUGACUGUUCGUUAGCUCCUCUCGCUGCUGGGGAAGAAGGAGGGGGAUGGGCCAUGGACGGGGUUCCCUUGAAAACCUCAGCGUCGAGCUCGGGCGGCUACGCGCAGGCAGCACUAGGCUGCUUCACGGGGAGGGGGCGCGGCCAAUCAUUGGCACCCCACUGGUCCAAUGCUGAUGAAGAUGGUGCCAGCGUCGUGUGAGGACAUCUCAUCUCCUCGAGUUCCAUGGCCAGCACAGGUGAGCUGCCGCUACCACAAAACAGAGGUUUCGUGAGAGUCAAAAAACCUUAUGAAAAUAGCUAAAACCAUCAUGAAAAUAAUCCGUGACAUGACACUCUCACGAAAAUCCUCUCACAAAUAUGGUGCCAUGAAAAUACCAUUUUCAUGAGAGUGAACUGUCAUGAUUUUAUAAGCGUCAAUACUCGGUAUAAAUUGACUACUGCUGUGAGUUCCCUUUCAGCUUAUCGUAGGCAUACAUUAUUGCUAGCACGGUAAAGAGAACCAACACGAAUGAUGAAGUAAACGUAGCGGAACUUUUGUAUACCAACACCCUUACGUACCGGUGUCAUUCCCCACUGCCACAUAUAUUCUUAUAUGCUAACCAGCUUUGAAAAUUAAGCGAUUAAAAUAAUUAUUUCAAGAUAGAAAUAACUUAUCGGCUUCUCGAAGCUUGUGUAAUGUGAAUUCAAGGACUCGAUGGAAGUUGAAUCGCUUCAUCUAGAUUGCUUUCAGGAUUUUGGGUAACUAAAUUUAACAUUUGCACACACAAAUGUUAAUGUACAAAUGUUAAAUCUAGUUACCCAAGCAGAAUAUGAAGAUACUCUAUAGUAUAUAUGUACUAUAUAAAUCUAGUAAACAUUUAGUCUAAAUGUUAAAUCUAGUUACCUAAAAUCCUAAAAGCAAAAUGUAUAAAUAUAUAUCUUUUAAGGCAGUAUAAGCUUCAAUUCUCUGUUAAAUCUCAUCUUUCGUUGUGGCCCAACACUCUAGUAUGCAUGUUGCACCAAGCUUCUUUGAGCCGCUCUGCCCUCUGAUUUUGCUGCGUAGGGGAAUCUUUAUCAGGUUGGGCUACUUCCAGUUGUGCGAUGUAAAGCUUCGUAUCUUUUAGAAGGUAGACAAAAUACCCGCGUUCUGGAAGAUUCUGCAACGUGCACGUUGGCGCUGCCACCGUGGUUGCUUAAGCAAAUGCAUCCAACUGAAUCGUCCUUAAGCUGAAUAAUUGGAUAUGGUAUCCACUGCUUAAAGCUGCCAUGUUUAGUACGUCUUUGUUUUUCUCUCUUUAUAUUCCAAUAAGGUCGGUGAUCUUGAUGCCACACACUCAGAUGUGUGUUUAUCUCCAGAUACUACUCCAUGCUACCUACCCUUUGUGUUUUGUUCAAUAACUGGGUAUCAUAUCCUAGCCAGUGUGCCAUCUGUUUUGUGUUUGUUUCCUUCUAGUUCCAAAGGGGUCAUCAUGAUGUUACCUUCUUUUGAGGUGUCUAUGAUGACUUCGUUAAUAUCAAUAUUAACCAAUUCAAUCUGUCUUAACUAUUUGUAAGGGGUAUGAUGUAUGCAUGAUUAUAACAAUGAUUGCGCAUACAAUCGCCGCCAAAGAAACGGUCAAUACCAUUAAGACAUAUUACAGACAAUUCUCAUAAUCUAUAAUGAAUAUACAUAUUCACUACUGCAGAAGACUGUCAUUUGUAUCGGCUCAUACGUGCCAGGGCAAAGGUCACCCUUGCAUUAAGUACAUUUGCACGGUAAAGACAACCAACACGAAUAAUGAAGUAAACAUGCCGGUGCUUUUGUACACCAACACGCUUACUUAAAUGUACUGGUGUCAUUCCUCACCGGUAGCCGGCUUGAAAAUUAACCAAUUAGAACAAUUAUUUAUUGUAUCGGUGUGAUUUUUGACCUAUUGGAAUAUGAAUUUGACCGUUACUGCAUUCGUCAAGACUCAAGAGAGAAAUAACUGAUCGGCUUCUUAGAGCGUGUGCAAUGUGAAAUCAAGGACUGGAUGGAAGUUGAAGCGCUAGCACUAGUAGAGAAACGACUUUCCAUCCACCCCCUUUUGUCCCGGUUUAAAGUUGGCUCGGGAUAAAAGGUUCACCAACCGGGACUAAAACUCAGUCACUGGUGGGAGGCUCACCAACCGGAACCUUUUAUCCCGGUUGCAAAGGCUAAUGGGAAAAAAAGACUCUGAGAGGCCUUUUAUCCCGGUUUGAAACACCAACCGGGAUAAAAGACCCCCCUUUUAUCCCGGUUGGUAACACCAACCGAGAUAAAAGGGUCAAGAGCCUUUUAUCCCGGUUGGAAACACCAACCGGGAUAAAAGACCCCCUUUUAUCCCGGUUGGUGUUUCAAACCGGGAUAAAAGGGCCCCCACGAGGUGACUGGAAGGUGACUGGAAGGGGAUUAAAUCGUGGGGGACCCUUUUAUCCCGGUUGGAAACACCAACCGGGAUAAAAGGGGGUCUUUUAUCCCGGUUGGUGUUUCCAACCGGGAUAAAAGGGUCCCCCACGAGUUAAUACAAAAGGAUAGUAUCCCCUACAUAGUCAGAUGUGGUGUGUAGGUGGGAUGGUAAGGAAGCUACGCGCGAGCUCCGGAAUUUUUUUUUUUUUUUUUUGCAGCGUCGGCGCUCUCUACCCUUUUAUCCCGGUUGGUAUUACCAACCGGGAUAAAAGGGGGUCUUUUGUCCCGGUUGAGUGACCCGGGAUAAAAGACCCCCCCUUUUUUCCCCGGUUAGUUUAUCCCGGAUGCAUUUUCGGGAUAAAAGCACCCUACCAACCGGGAUUAAAGCUCACUUCUCUACCAGUGUAGCUUCAUCUUCCGCUGCAAGUUAAUUGCUUGGAUAAGAAGUUGUAGCCGCUGCAAGUUAUAAAUAGUCCCGCUGAUGCUGUGCUCCGAAGUCUAUACUAUAUAUGCGGAAACUAGAUUGCUUUCAGGAUUUUGGGUAACUAAAUUUAACAUUUGUACAUAAAAAUGUUAGUUUACGAAUGUUAAAUCUAGUUACCCAAGCAGAACAAGAAGAUAGUAUAUAGUAUAUACUAUAUAAAUCAAGUUAACAAUUAGUCUAAAUGUUAUAUCUACUUACCCAAAAUAUUGAAAGCAAAGAAAGAAUAAGUAUAUAUCUUUUGUUGGAAAAUUGGUCCACGGAGAGGCCCAUUUAGGCCUCGUUCGUUUCACCGGGAUGGGAUUCCAGUCAGGAUUACUUCCAAGUUCGGUUUGAGUGAUUCCACCCGUGUCACUCAAUCCGGCUAGGAUUCAUUCUAUGGGUGAGGAGGUAUGGUUUCAAUCCAGGCCAUCUAAUGUAGAAGGAUUCCAAUCCAGGCCGGUUUUCGUUCCAGGCCAGACUAAAACGAACAACACUUUCAAUGCAAGUCUGGUUUCAAACCGGGCCAUUUCAAACCACCCGGAAUGGACCUCGUUCCAGGCCAAUCCGGUGAAAACAAAUGAGGCCUUAAUGGAAUCCCAAAGCAAGAGUUCAGUGGCAUUCUAUAGUCCCAUGCUGCUAGUUUGAGUUGGUCGAAGCCAACUUAAAUAGGAGAGCUCUCUCACUUCUCUAAAUACGUAACUGAAGGAGAGAAGGGGGCUUGGGUUACACAACGCACGCACGCACGCAUAUUUGCGUUCUUUUCGCGUAACCAACCGCGUGACUUGAAACUUGCGACGUAGCGUGCUGCUAAGUCAAGUUGAUAUAACCUUUUUGCCGUUUGCAUGUAAUCUUUUGACAACGGUCAUUGGAGGUGAUAAGCACGCAGUCAAUACCUUAAUCUUGAGUUAAUAGGGUGGUUACUACUGCCAAUUAGUGGGGCAAUUUUGUAGGGGAAACGGUUAGCAGAGGGCUACCGUCUUCUCUAUAAGAAGUUCUGGAGACGUCCAGGAACACACAUGUACAUGUGAGAGACCCACAAAUUCCUUCCCUUCUCCCUUUUCCAUGUGGUGAAGUGUGCUGUGGUACUGAGCUGCUUGAUCUCGCCGCUCUUCUCCUUGGCAUGCACCGAGGAGGAGGGUGAGCGGUAUCUCCGAGCUAUUGCCGUCAGGAAGCCUGCACGAGGGACAACAAAAAGUUUUUGGGUAGCGCAACUGCCAGCACAACUCUCCCUCCGCCUCUUCUUCACGGUUGAUGGCCACCACAAGCAUAAACCUCGCCUUCGCAUCCACGCAAAAGGGUCGCUGGGGUGCCUUCUUGCAUCGCUUCUCAGCCUCCUUGACUUGCGGCCAGCCAAGAACUGCGCCACCACCUCGGGUGCACGCCACCACUCCAGGGCUGCUACCCCAUGCCUGCGGCCGCCGCCGGCCACCACGCGUGUGCAACCGCGUCGCACCGCUUCCUUGCUUUGUGCCACCACUGCUGCUGUACCACCAGCUCCACCACCUUGGGCUGGUCGCCAGAGUGACUGAUAACUUAUUAUCUGUAACUACUAUUAACUCAGGGAUACAUGCGUCUUUUGCUUCUCCUACUAAUAUGUCCUAAAAUAUCUAGGAUGCCUUAUAUUUCUGGACAGAGGAAGUAUUUGAAUAAAAUGAACCAAUUUAAAAAAAUGUGUUGUACACUACUACAGAAAGACCUAUCAGUGUCAAACCCAAAAAUGUUGUCACCGCCAGUUUUGGGCAUCAUUGGUGAAAGGUUGGCGGUGAUGGGCUUUCCCUUCAACAACGGCACUGGAGCCGACGGUGAUUGACAUUAGAAAACAAAAAAGGGGACCCUACCUAGCCACCCCUGCAACCCGGCCGGCCGUGCCUCCCCUCAUCCCCACCACCUCGCCUCCCCAUGACCCCCCGCCGGCGCCCUUGCGCCUAGCCCCCUCAACUGCCCAGCCGGCCACCCUCAUCACGAGAGAGAGGUGCAUGUUGUAUAAUUGCGUGAAUUUUUUAAUGUUUAAUUUCAUGUAAGUUCCGUGUAAUAAAUUGUACAAGUUUUAUUGUAUAUAUGAAUUCCAUAUAUAUAUAUAUAUAUUUAUAAUUUAAUGUAUGGUUUCAUGUGUAUAUUUCAAUCAUGUGUAUAUUUAGUAGAUUGCCGAUUUUCUUUUUCUACUAGACAAGGGUUGAUGUAUAAUUACGUGUAUAUGUUUAUUGUACGGGCAAUUAGGACAAGUUUUGUAUAAAUUUCUUUUAUUUGAUGGUUGUUGUAUGGUUUCAUGUAUAUACAUUUAUUGUACUACUUUAGACAAUUUUUAAUUUAAUGUUUCUAUGAUUAGAUGUGUGUAUAACUAAUUGUAUUAUUAGUUAAGAUGGGAGCUAAAGAGGAUGAAAGGUAUAUAAUGGAGCAGAUUAUUGCUAGCUCAAACGUUGCAAGAACCUACACCGAGGGUGAGGGUAGCUAGGUGGACAUGUACCUCAACAUGUCCAGUGAUGGCAAUGACGAUGAGGAGCACGAGCAUGACAUCUAUGAUAAUGCGGAACAAGACAUUGCAGAAUUGGAAGGUUCUAAUGAGGUGUGCUUCAUGUUGACAAUCUAGUUGGCUUUUUUUCGUUGGUCACACCUUAGUUACCAUAGAACUUCGUCUCGGGAGAAGAUUGGUGGUGGUAUGGUGAUUGGAAUUUUAUUUCCACGAAAUCUGAUUUCCAUCGAAUCAUAUCCCUUGUAUUUAUCUUCUUUUUAUUUGUGAGAGCAUCUUCUUUAUGCUUGCAAAACAAUUCAAGUGCACAUACUACCCCUAGGGUGACGAUUGGGAGUAGAAAUAAUUGCCAACAAAACAACACCACAUCCUAAGAUUCUUAACUUGUGGCAUAAUUAGUCUAGUAAAAAGAAAGAUAAAAACCUAAUGGGUGUAUGUGAGUGCAAUGUGUAUAUGCAUAUGAGUGGAAGGCAUAUAAGCAAAGACAAUAUUUACACAUAGUUCUAAACACCAUGUUUACAGCUAGGUUGCUGAAUUUCUCCAUAGCCAUAGAGAUUAAUUAACCAAGGUCAAAACACGAUGUCUAUCCCAAGAUCAGUAAUUAUUUAUAGCACAAGAAAAAGAAAGCGCAUUGCAAAGUUUAUAAACCAACCAAUACAGCAUGAAAACAAGAUGAAUAGCUAGCAAGGUUUAUUAAACUGAAUGAUGACGGUCUGUAAGCAAGUUUAAACACCAUCUUUACACAAGAUUGCAAAUGGAAAAUGCCCAUAUGAAGCACUAACAUGGAUAUGAAAUCAUUCAUCAUAAAGCGUAAAGAACAACCAAGCCAACCAUAUGCAAAGCAUGAAUGGAAUGCAAUGAAGGUGCAAGAGAACAUUUUUGGAUGAACACAUUAUGAUGAUGGCAAAAUGCAAUGCAUGCAGAAAAAAUAAAUAUGAACAUGAAUAUGAUGAUCAGGGGCGGACCCACUAUUGUGGCCUGGGUAUUCCUCGGCAUACCCAAUAUUUUUGGGAAAAUGUUUAGUAGUUUUUAAUGGCAUAUACAUGUAUAAUAUAGUUUAGGUGUUAAAAUUGAUAUUCACAGCUAUUUUGGGCUCCAAUUCGCGUCCAAACCAACCUGGCCCACAGACCGCACCCGGCCGCCCGGCCCAUCGGCCCAUCUUGUCACUGAUCCUCCCACCACCACACUCAGCCCGUCAGUUAGUCAGGUCCCGAGCUCCUGCCUGACCUAGUCCGCUACCACCGCCAGGCGCCAGGCACAGCUGUACACGCCGCCCCCGUCCACCCACGUCCGCCGCACGGCCGCGUCGCGCCCCCCCCCGGCGCCCGCUGCUGCCAGAACCCAUUAGGCCUCCACCGGCAAGUCCACCCACAGUCCCGCGCGACGCGGCAGCCUCUUGGCUCUCGGCGCUCGCGGCGCGCCAAUGCCUGCGCAGCCCCAGCAGGCGACUGCCCCCCCCCCCCCCGCAUCGGGCCUCGGCCCCUCCCCAGCUCCCCCUCCCCCCUCCACCAGGACUGCCUGCUGGCCCCCACCGCGAGGUAAUCGAAAUGGACUGCUCAAUCUCUCAAUCUGUUGACAUGAUGCACACGGUUGCAAAAAUAGAUGUGUCAAAAUAGAUGUAUUGCCAAUUGCUAUAGAUGCAUAUGGUUGACAUGAAGAAGUCAAAAAUGACAUUUGGUUCCUUGUAGGCAGUCAAAAAUGAAGAAGUCAAACAAUAUUGAUCUGAAAUCAAUGCGGGAAAGGGCUACGAAGACACACGGGUAGAUUCCCUUGUGAACUUUUUAUGUCGUUCGUCUAAAUAUAUUUUUGCAAUGGGCAUACCCUACUCUGAAAUCCUGGGUCCGCCACUGAUGAUGAUGGUCUAAACAUAAAACAAGCCUAGAUUAAUUAGCUACAACUGAAAUUAAGCAAAGGUUAAUGUCAUUGACCCUAGCUCUAUCCUAGCUUUUACUAAAGUCCCGGCACAUAUAGUGGUUGGGCCCACUCUCUCUACUUCCCUCUCUGCUGCAUGCACACACACGAGCAACUGGAGGCCCAACAAAGCCCAGAAGGGUUCGGCCGAACCCGUCCGAUCCAGUCUGAGCGCCGCUCCCUCCCAGCCUUCGCGCAGAUGCUCCUCCAACGUUCCUUGACCCCUCCCUCAGUGUCCCAUUGGGUUUAACAUUGUAGGAGAGGAGUCCCUUUUUUAAAAUCUCAACCACCUCCUCUCCUCAUUCACUCCACUCUCAUCUCCAUCAAACUCACCAAGAUCCACAUCGGAAAUACCUGCUUACCACCAUGGCUGGCAAAGCCCUCGUCCCUUUCACCAACUUGGGCUUGACCAUUGAUCUCGAUGGGAAAAUCACUCCAGCAAAUGUCAUUGUCCCUGUCGGCGAUCUGGCGAUGGAGGAGGUCCAGGCACUAGAGGUCGAGCCCCUAGCCAUCAUACCGCCCAAGGGGUAAAGCAGGAGCAUGACAGGCGCUGCUAGGGGUUCAGCCGAACUCCCAGUUCAGCCAAACGAGGACGGCGUCGCCUCGGCCUCCCGCUCGACUGCAUGCUUCCCCUUGCCAAGGAGGACUCCAGAACAGCGGGCGCGUGCGUCAAGUCCCUACAAAAGGCUGAAAUACAAUGAAUAUCCAGGGUCACCCUUGAAGAUGGGUGAACGCUACGCCGGGUCCUUGUUUGACUAGUACGGCGAUGCAUUCUGCCACCGCUAUGUCGUUGUCGAGAUUAGCGGAUCAAGACUUAGACUAGUAAAUUUCUUUUAUGCGCGUAAGGCUUCAGAUGGUGGCGUGGGAGACAUGGGUUUUAUACUAGUUCGGGCAAUGGAAUACCCUACGUCCAGUGUCUGGAGCUGCUUGUGUUGCCCACGCGGGGUUCUGUAGUAGGGGUUACAGGUGUGCGAGAGAGGGAGCUAAUCCCAGGUCUCUUAGGCGUGUUCCGGUCCUCUAGAUGGGAGAAGUGUGUUCUGUUUGCUUGGGAGUAUCGGUUGUGUCUGAGUUGUCUCCGGAGCCUCCUCCCGUCUCAGGUCCCCGAUUCUCCUUUCAUAGCACAAGGAGACCAUCGGGGUUACAGACGAGACCGAGCGUGGGGAGGAGUAAAGAGAUAAACAUAGCUAGGUAAAAAUACAACAAGAAAGGGGGGAACCAAGUUUCUAGGUCACCGGCGUCCUCGCCGGCCUUCGACUUCCGCCGGCGCAUUUGUCGGAGGAGGGUGGCCGCCAUCGCGUUCUGUCGAUGGCUUCCUCGGUGACUGUAGCCACCGGGCGUGAUGAUGGCAUUUCGUCGUGACCCUUUGUCUGUUGGGGGAGGCGGCGGAUCCUGCCAUUCUGCUGACGGCUCGCGGAGUGCGAACGUCGCAUCCCUGCCGCUGGGCACGCGGGGCGCGAGAACGUGCGAGGCUUCCCCCUACCCCAGGCGGCGCAGGCCAUGAGUGCCCUGUGGCAAAUCGGAGGAGGCCGCAGCUACUGUAGCUUGUACUGUGCAGCCACGUAUGGGUACUUGUGGCAGGUUGCGUGGUGGAUGCGGAUAUCCUUCUCCCUGACAGAUCUGCGGCGCAUUUAUGGCGAGAUCGACAUGGGGACCCACAAGACCCGCGCCCAAGGCGGAUACUUGUCUGGAGGGCCCGGGUUAGCCUGACCCCCUACGCUUGGGGUCGGGCGAGGCGGAGACUUGCGGCGGGGCGUCGGACGCUCCCGACACUAGACCUGCGGUCGCGCAAGGCGGAGCUUGGUCUUCCGGGGGUCGGGGGUGCCGGACCCCAGGAUGCGGGGUCGGGCGAGGUGGAGCGUAAUUCUUGCCUCCCAUGUUGGGCCGAUGGCAGUCUUUGUUACCUCUAGUGGGCUUGGGCCUUUAUGUUUUGUUGUUUCCAUGGGCUUCGAGAGGUCGUUAAUAUUUCCCCCCAACAGUAGCCCCCGAGCCUGUGGUGGAGUGGGGGCGCUCCUCCGGAGGCUACUAUCAUCGCCCCUAGGGAAUCCUCGCAGUUGAUCCGGGAUAGGAGGUGUUGUUUGCACGGCUUGACCGAGGGGGUCGAUUAGGCGACGCAUCCUGUGAGCGACUCGGUGCGGGAGGGUUUCUUGUUGUUCCCUUCUGUCUGAGAGCCUUAAGUCGAGACCACCUGCGUGGCCUUUGGUUGCAAGGCCAGCCCCCGAGCCCCCGCACGUUGCAGGGGACCGGUCGGAGGCUAGGUCGACUUUUGUUCAUUACCCUCAAGCGUCUGUUCGCUAGGACGGAGGGGGCGAGCCGUGCCAUGCUAUCCUCAUCGGACGAACCAUGGUGCUCAUUGAGUUACUAACGGGUUGAUUCGAGUGGGAUCCCGGUCCCCGUUCGGGGGGGGUCCGGCUUGGGCCAAGCUGGUGGCGUACCCCAGGCUCCGGUCGGCCAGUUCAUAUAGUUCCUGAGUCCGUUCGGUCGGACCGGGGGCUCAUUGCCUUUCUUCGGGGAAAAACCAUGAACUUUGAUGCCGGUCCAGACUCGAAUGUGAGAUUGAGACGCCCGGGGCUGUCGCGUGCCCGGGUGAUGGCCGCUAGCGGACCCGUCUCCUCUCACCCCUCACUCGGGGGUAUCCUGAGGCGGCUGUCGAACCCGUGGCGGGCCAGCCUUCGAACCUCUGGAUCGUAAUGGGCCGUAGGGGCGUUUUCAGCCCCGUAUCCCUUUUUACCUUUUGGUGGGCCUUGGGCCGAAUCAUGGAGGAGGUCGGGCCUUGGGCCGGAUGCGGAGGAUGUCGUGCCUUGGGCCGGAUGUGGGGGACGUCGUGCGUGUCUUCCGGGAGACGAAGUGGUGGAGGGUGCCAACCCGCGAAUCGAGGGAGGAGGGGAUGUUUCUACUGCAGGUCAUGCGCACGGUUUCCGAAAAGGCAGCGGGCGUGACGGGACGUACCUCGCGCCGCAUUUAUUGCGAUGGGGGCGUCUGUUCUGCUUCCCUCGUGCCUUCCCUAUAAAACGAGGACUUCGCCUCGCCGGUUCCGCCCGCCAUCUACCUUCAAGCCUUUUCGCCUCCUCGCGCGCCCUUAGCUUUCCUGUGCCCGCUUCGUCUUCCUCCGCCCAGUGCCGCGCCCUUUCUCCCCAUCCGCCGUCGAGUUCUUCUCCCUCCGGCGAUGGGAUCCUGGGCGCGUUCCCACUUCGGCCCCUCACGCGCCGAAGGCCUAGUGAGGAAAGGCCUCCUUUGCGAGAGGACGGAGACGGAUGAGUGGGGGUUCCCUGAGAUGGAAGAGGUGCCGACUCCGCCCACCGGCUACGUCGUUUCCUUUGCCCACUUCCACGAGAGGGGGUUUGCGACUCCGCCGAGCCUCUUCUUCCGCGGGCUUUUGUAUUACUACGGGCUUGAGCUGCAGCACCUCAACCCCAACGGGAUUCAGCACGUCGCGGCGUUCGUUGCGGUGUGCGAGGGGUUCCUGGGCAUUGAGCCCAACUUCUCGCUGUGGAAGUACUUCUUCACGGUCAGCCUAUACCAGAAGGCCGAGAAGAGGGGAAGCCAGCAGCGGUCGACCCCGGUGCCGAUAGGGUGCGUCGGAAUCCACCUCUGCCAUACUCGCGCCAAGGAGUAUAUCGCGAUGAAGACCGCGGCAUCCCACAAGGGGUGGCACCAGCAAUGGUUCUACGUGAAGAACUACUCCAACCCCCCCUGCCGGAGUUCACCGGCCGCAUUAUUGAAGCGGCGCCGGAGGUGUGGGUGUACGGCCCGGUGGAGAAGGAGAAGAAGCGGAUCACCGGCCUGCUGCAGGCCAUCGAGCACCUGAAGGAGAGGGGACUGACCGGAGCCGGAGUCAUCGGGGCGUACCACGCCCGGCGGGUGGCGCCGCUGAUGCUCCGGGUCCGCUCGCUCGCCGACAUGACCCCCGGUGCUCUCACCGAUGGCACUGUCCUCGCGACGGGUGCUCUCGCUGCCUCCGAGAUCCGGCAGCGGAUCCGGGAGGCGCUGGAGGACAAGGACGCCGAUUACCCGGUGCCCGGCCACCCUCCGAUGCGCCCGGACGAGAAUUUCAUUGAUCUGGUAAGGAUUUUGCGCGCCAGUUUCCCUCUCUUGCGUUUCUUGGUAUGCCGUUCUGACGCGAGGCCCUCUGUGUUUGCAGGGUAGCAUGACCCGGGUCGUCGACUUGCGUCCGCCAGUGUCGGAGGACGCCGAGUGGCGGUAGCAGAACCGUCUCCUUGCCGAGAAGCAAAAGUGACGCAAGGACAAGAGACAGCGAAGAAGAAGAAGAGGGCCGCCAAGGAGUUCCAGCGGCGGCGGUGGGGAUAGGUCGUGUCGGAUGACGAUGACGAUGAGAAGGAGGAGGAGGAUGACGAGGAGGAGGAGGAGUUUAUCCUGUCCCCCCGGUCAGGGGCGCUUGUUAUCCGGGAGCCGCGCUCCCAAGCGGCCAUGGGGGACAAGGCGGGCGAGCUGCCUGCCCGGACCCGAUCCUGCGAAGCUUUGGGGGCGCGCCCCAGGGGUCGGCGCAGAGCGCCCCCCGGGGGUCGACGGAGCCGACCCCCAUCCCUACACCUGCAGCCCAGGAGCAGAGGAGCAGCGACAAGCGGCCGUUGCCAGAUGCCCCGGGGUCGGCGUCCAGCUCAGAGGCGAAGCGCGCGCGCCGCCCUUGCGCUGGGGGAACGUGAGUUGAAUUUCCUUGCGAAUCUCGUUCCUUUCCAUGCAUUGUGUUUGUUUCCGCUGAUGCUGUUUGUUGUCUCACAGCACCGCCCCUCAAGGCCUUGUCCCGCCGUUGGCGCCAAAGAAGGCGUUGCGGUGUUGUCGCCUCUGCGGGGCGGACCGCGGCUCCGCCGGCGGCGAGUGGCGGGGUCACUGGUGAGACCGCGGGUCCUACCGCGGAGGUGGCCCCUGCGGCGGCAACCGGUGGAGUGGUGCCACCGCCGGGCAUGGGACAGGGUCUGGACCCCGCUCCGUCCUCCGCCUCUUCGGCCGACCCCGCGGUGCAGAGUAUCGCUCCUGGGGGCCCUCAGGCCGGGGAGGUGAUUGACCUCGACGCCGACGAGGUGGAGGAGACGGCGGCGGUGGAGACGGGGGCGGUUGCCCCAGCGGCCAUGACGGGGACGACGACGGCGACGGGGGAAGGAGAGUCUACCCCCGCGGCCACGGCGGGGACAGUGGCGACAGAGGAGGCGGGGACGCCCGCCCCGGCGGCUGCGACGGAGGAGGCGGCGGUGACGGAGACGGGGGCUUCCGCCCGGGAAGCCACAGCCGAGGUGGCAGCGGCGACGGAGGUGAAAGUGCCUGUUCUGGAGGCCACGGUGGGGGUGGGGACGCCUGCCUCGUGGCCACGACGGAGGGCGAGGCGGCCCCAGGGACACUUGCUCCGGCACCCGCGUUGGAGGCGGUGGCGCCGACGGGUUGGCCCGUGGCGGCCUCGACGGGGGCGGGGGUGCGUGCGCCGGGACCGUCGGUGAGGCCGGCGACUUCCGGGAUGGUGGUGCCCGUCUUGACGGCGGCGGCGGCGCGGUCGGCCCCCGCCCUUGCCUCUACCACUCCCAUUCCCAAGGCGUGGAGCGGAUCCGUCCUGCGUUGGUCGUCUCGUGACGACCCGCAGAGGCCCCUCUUCACGUUGGAUGAUGCCACAGAAUGGGGCAAGUGGCAGGCGCUGCAGGGCGGACUCGCUAACGUCCGCGCCGCUCUAUCUUCGGCGUUGGGGGAGCUGGACGGCGUCAUCUUCCCCGGUGGCCGGGUAUGGUGCUUUCUCCGUUGGUUAUUUUCUUCCCGUUACUUCGUCCCUGAUGGCACAUUGUUCUGCAGGCCCUCCAAGAAUGUAGCCGGGGAAAAUCUGAUUUCCUUUGGCUCGAGCAGGGGCUCUGGGAGCGCUUCAACUUGGAGUUGCAGCGGACCGGGGAGCUGACCAUGCAAGUCGCCACCGUCUAGCAUGUCAUCGACGAUCUGCGAAGGCACGAGCAGGCGGCACAGGAGGACGCGCGGCGGGCGGAGGCCAAGUUCCAGGUCGUUGCCGAAAGGGCUCGCUGCGACCGCGAGGAGUUCCAGGCCGUUGCCGAAAAGGCCCGCCACGACGCUGAGGAGCUCGCACGGCUGAAGGUGCAGCAUGAAGCUCUUCAGAAGAGCGGCAGAGGGCCUGGCAGGACCGGGACGCCGAGAAGGUCCGGAAGGAGGAGGCUGAGAAGGUGGCGGCCAACCUUGGGGCUGAGGUCAGCCAGCUCCAAGUGCAAGCGCGAGAGCUUCAGGCCUCCGUGGCCCAGGGGCUCGACCAGGAGCGCCAGCUGAAGGCCUAAUCCGAGGGUAUGACUCUGUUUAUUUCUUUGUCUUUGUGAUGUUGCGGUGAUAUUUUAUUUGGCGGGUUCUUCUGGAUGAUCCUUGCAGAUGAGCUCAACUGGCUGAGGGAGGUGCUUGACGCGGAGCGCGCUGAGCACGGCGACCUGCGGGACGCGGUCCGCGUCAUCUGUGACUUCCUUAGUGUGGUCCAGGGGGAGGGGACGAGCUCGCUGGCGGCUCGUGUCCUCGGGACGUACCGCCGGACCAGCGAGAUCGCCCUGGAAGCGCUUCGCACCGGCUUGAGGCAAGCCUUUGGGGUCUUCGGCUCCCACUAUUCCGGCAUCAACUUCGCCGGGAUGAGCGGGGGAUACGCCACCGGCUACUACGAGGCCGAGCUGGAUGAGAUCGACGUGUCGGUGCUCAGCCCGGCGGAGGCCUUGGUGAAGCUCCUCGAGGAUGAGGCCGUCCCGCCCGAAGAUCCCCGGACGAGUUAACUAUAUCGGGCUGGCGCCCCAGAUGUAAAUACGUUAGGGAAAGACUUGUUUUUUGUGAGGGCCGUAGAGGCCUUUUCUAUGAAUUGUCGUAAAAAAGUUUUUGAUUCCCUUUCUUGCUUUUUGGACUUGGAAAGUUUAGAGCACGUUGUCGGGCGUGUCAGUAAGCUUUGAUGAGCGAAGGCACCGUAGCCGCUGGGGCGUCGUUUUUUUUGCAGUCCGAUCAAUCUUGCCUGAACACCGUUCGUGCACUUUCUCCUUUUUAUGCCCAAAAGUUCAGAAAGAGGGUCGGCUCGGAAAGAGAAAGCGUUUUGAGAGGGUGUCAAGUGGCUUAGGUACUUGCGGCAGGUUGCGUGGUGGACGCGGAUAUCCUUCUCCCUGACAGAUCUGCGGCGCAUUUAUGGUGAGAUCAACAUGGGGACCCACAAGACCCGCGCCCAAGGCGGAUACUUGUCUGGAGGGCCCGGGUUAGCCCGACCCCCUACGCUUGGGGUCAGGCGAGGCGGAGACUUGCGGCGGGGGGUUGGACGCUCCUGACCCUAGACCUGCGGUCGGGCGAGGCGGAGCUUGGUCUUCCAGGGGUCGGGGGCGCCUUACCCCGGGAUGCGGGGUCGGGCGAGGCGGAGCGUAAUUCUUGCCUCCCAUGUUGGGCCGACGGCAAUCUUUGUUACCUUGGGUGGGCCUGGGCCUUUAUGUUUUGUUGUUUCCAUGGGCUUCGAGAGGUCGUUAAUAUUUCCCCCCAACACUAUGAGGAGGACUUGUGGGCAGAAAGUCAGCUACCACAAACUUGCCUCUGAAUAUUUGGAGUGCAAACAUUGGAUGGUGGUUGUGGAGAGCCCCAGCCAUACCUCGCACCCGUGGAGAGGUAAUUGUCGGAUUGCUUGGUUCGUCUCUAGAAUGCGACAAGGUCAGGCGCCACCUCUCACUGCUGCCAGUCAGAAGGCCGAGGGGCCAGUUUCAACAUAGUAAUGAGAAUCUCCGAAGGCCAAUAUGGUUAAGCAGCUAACCUCCAUGAUCAUAGACUUACGUUUAGAAAAUAGGAGGCUUAGCGAUGCGUUAACAGAGCAGAAGUUAGAAACAGAAGAACUUAAGGACGACUUCCGUGUCCUCCGCCUUGGUCUUUGUGCUAAGAUAAAGCGCUUGUACAAUGCCACGGGGAAUGACGGUCUCUACGAUGCAGCUCAAUAGACGUGCCCCUUGUAUCCUUUCCUUUAGGCACUUUAGAAUAUGUUUAUUUGUUUUCCUUCAUUUUAAUUUCCAAUAGAUUGUUAGCGCCUCCAAUUUAAUUUCAAUAAAGUGUAGACUCACCGGUCAUCCAACUUGAUGGAGUCCUUUUGUCACCUAGUUGUCUUUGGAAGAAGUAGCUGGGUACAAAAUAAGUGUGGGGGAGAGCCACAGACUCUCUAGAGCUGAAACAAUGCACAACACCCACAAAUAGAGAAAACCACGCUGCACCAGCACGUACGUGAAAGUGGAGCCAGAGCUGGACCCAUAGGGGUUUGGCCAACCCAAGGGGUGGCCCACUCGGGCCAUCUUCAUCCACCGCGUCGGUUUGUGUCUCUUUACCCCUGAUCUCCCUGAUUCAUGAGUUUGAAUGAAUUUUAAAUCUGAUCAACUAAUUCAAACUCAACUAAAAUGAAUCAACUGCUCCACCUGCUCUACAUGUUUUCUAUGGUUGGCUUGCAUAUGUUUUAUUUCAUGCUUAUCAUCUUGAUGCUUGUGAACAAAUAUCUUUAGGACAGCAUGCUCAUCUAAGUAGUUGAUGUGUAUGAUAUGGUUCGAUGAUAUGAUCUUCACUCUUAAUGCUUAAGUGCUUGGGAAAAUCUAUUUGAAAAUUUAAAAGCCUUUUUGAAAUCUCCUCUUUGAUGUGCCAAAGUCCUACCAAAGCCAUAUGAUAAGUUAUCUUGAAAAACCAUUUGCAUAUGUUGCUUGUCUUUGCAUUGAGCUUUGUCAAAUUGGUGUGACCCUUGUCACAAUUCUUUUCAUACUUUCAUGAUCAAGACUCAUGUGCACGCCAUAUACCCCUUGCUAUGCUUCUAUGAGAUGUUAGCAUUGUACCAUCCAUUCAUUCCACAAAAUAAAUGCUCCACCAUAUGUGUUGGUCUCCUUCUAAGAUUAUUGUUACAAAAGAGAUAUGGGCUAUCAAAAAAAAAUAUGAAUGUCCAAGAAAGUUGGACACAUGAAUGUCCAAUAAAAAGAAAAAGAAAGAUAGCCAUGUCCUCAGAAAUAUUUACAAAGGGAGAGAGAUCAUACAAAAAGGAGUUUCCAUUCCAUCCACCACAUCCAUACAUGUGCACAUCUUGAUCUGAUUGUAUGACUUAUUUUUCUCUUUGGAUCUGGUCUUUGACUUUGCAAUAUAUGUGAUGCAAGCAUGCCUUAUCCUUCAUAGCCUACCUUGAGCUCCACAUAUAGCCAUCAUUAGAAGUAGGAUGAAGAAAGGCAAGUCUAAUGCCUUGGUGAGGACAUAUACACAUUGAGUGAUCUGAGAGAAUCAAAUGAGGAGCUAAGCAAGGUUUUGUUUUGAAAACUAAUUGAAAAAUCCCAAGCUACUUGGCAUAAGGAGUUGAGGUGACUUGAUUCAAGACCAUUACAUUCCUCAACUACCCAAGAUGGCAUGAUAGACACUCCAAAGUUCACAAGUGCAGGUAUGGUUUGGAAUAUCUUUUAGGCUCGCUUCAUACCUUUGAAAGUUAUGUUUCACCUUAGUCCUUUCUCGUUCACUCAAGGAUAAGCAAAGGCUAAGUGUGGGGGUGUUGUUGAUGGCUCUUAAGUACAAAAUCUGCGCCAUCAACUCUUGCAUAAACACAUAAAAUAUGAGCAUCAACAAUAGUGGUAGGAGUUAUUACAAACGAAUUCCACAAGUCUUGGUGAAUAUUUGUAUGCAAGCCCAAUAGGAGAGAAAAGACACCUCAAAAGCAAGGAAACACACUCUCAACCAAUCAAGAGCAAGCACAUGGAACCAUGGGCCCACAACCAAAAGGAAAUCGACUACAUUCCAAACACCCUAUACCCACAUGAGAACCCAUAGGGCAGUGACCCAGAGCAAAGGUGAUGCCAGAGUGUAGAUGGUAGUUAGCAUGCCAAAUUUUGAACCGCAAGCGCUCGGAUUAGUUGUUUCUUUUCCCUUAGAGAUUCCCCCAAGGUUUAUCAAUCCAUGGAACAAGGGAUUUGCACGUUUCACUAAGCACUAAUCAAUGUAAUUGAAAGCUUUUCGAAUAAGAUAUGAUUAUGCUAACAAAGGAACUAAGCAAUCUAGAUUAAGAUGGAUAGAGAGUACAGGUUGUGAACAAGAUAGAUUAAACGCUUGUAGAUGCAAUCACCAUGCAUGAAUGAAUUAGAUCUAGGUGUUAUUGUGAGUGGUUGUGAACCAUGCCCAACACUUUCCCACCCGCAACAUUGUCACUACAUGUGGGUACUCAACUAUCGGAACAUAAGAACACAUCAAGAUGAUCAUUCUAGGUAAGCAAAUAAGCAACCCAAAGUAGCGCUGGCCAGCCUUUUCAUGAAAGAGCAUCAUCAAGAUAAGAUUGAUAACAAAAUAGAUCUCAACCAAAGGUUCAGCGAUUACAAAUCAAGAUCUUCGUAUAACCCCGAUGACAAAUAGAGGUAUUACCCCCAUGAUCUUACACAUGUUGAUGAAUUUUAGGGUAAAGGACACCCUGUAGAUCAACUGGACCAAAGAUGAUGAUGAACGGGGGCAGGGAAGGCCCAGGUUGAUCAGCCUGCGCACUUUUGAGCCGAUCAGCUCAGGGGGUUUCCUCCUCCCCUGGUGCUCCUCUUCGCGUGGCCUCCUCUGGAUCCAAUCUUCUCUUCAUUUCUCCUACUUGUGGCGGCAAUGGAUGGUGUUUGCAUGGUGAUUUCCUCUUCUCCCCAACUCUCCCUCCUUGAAGUCCAUGAGGGGGUAUUAAUAGUCUCCAAUAGGCGGCAGCUCUGGGUCAAUGUCAGUGAAAAAAUCCUAGAGAUCAUCGUACACUUCAUGCUGAGGAAACAAGAGGUUGACCGAGCCCUGGGAUAGACCAAGAGGAUCAUCCUAGAGGGUCCCAGGCUAAUCGGUCUAGGCCCUUCCUAGCCCUUCUAGUCCUCUCCUUCCUCGUGCUGGCUUUUCUCGAUGACCCUUGUCCAAAUAUCCAUGAAGCUCUAUAUACAUACCCCCUUGAUUAUGUUGUAUUUCCUGUCAAAAUACAAUGCUCCAAAAUACAACACAUAUGCAAUAAUAGGGUUAUUUCAGGUGCCAAUUGGUGGGUUAGUAUACGAAUAAGCAUGAAAAUACUGUUUAAAUGACACUAAAAGUGUGUCAAUAACGAGCACCAACAAUCCCCCCACGCUUAGAUCUUGCUCGUCCUCGAGCAAGUCUAGCGACUAAAAGAUCUUGAAUUAAACCUGAGCAAGCGAGUCAAGUACCUAGCCUUGAAACAAAAGAUUAGAGGAGCAGCAAAGAUAAUCAAAGUCUGGGUGUUCAAAGAUUUAUCUAAGCAAAGAUUCCCCUACAACUAUUAUUCAGAACCAAGUAACUUCAAAAAUCAACUACACUUAUUUUCUGGCUUUUUUCAGAGGGUUUUUCUUUCAUCAUAAAACAAUCUCCCUGCAACAAAAUUGAAAAAAGAAUUAUUUUCAAGGUGCUUACAUGUCGCUUAAAUGAAUGUUGGCUAUCCUACUUAUUUGCAAGCUCUCAUCUCUCAAAAUUCAUUCAAUUAUAUGGUGGAGUUUGGGUAAGGUUAGCUAGAAUCAACACGUAUAUUAUUGAAUUAAGAAAACCCUCUAACGGUGGCCUACCUUCCGAGCCAUUGAUCAUAAGAAUAUCCACAUAAUGUGAAGUUUUCAAGGAUGAGAAGAUAUAGAAUGGUGGACAUGUGCAAAGGCAAAGAAAUAUAGUGACUCUGAGGCACAAGCAAUGUCCUCGUCGUUGGAUUGCAUAUGGUUGUAAUGAAAAUAUGUUCCUUAAACAAGUCUAUCUUUUCUUUGCACCACUCUUGAUCUUCAUGACAGUAAAAACUCCUCCUUUAUUUCUUUCUCUCUUUUCCUAUUAUUUCUUUUUAUUUGUCUCAAUACUUUUAUUUCUUUAUUUCUUUAUUUUAAUCUCUUCUCUGAACCUCUUCUGAACACCACAUAAUAAAAAUAAGUUUUAGAUCCUUCCAGAGACCUUCCAGGAAUUUGCUACAUGAAAACCGAGGCAAGGAGACCCCAGGCCGAUUGGCCUAGCCACUCCUUUGCUCUCCUCUAGCUCUUCUUUCUGGUGAAGCUUCCUUAUCUUGUAUCUUUCCAAAAAUUUCAUAAAGCUCGACUAGAAACGGAACAGAUCUUCAUAUAAUGAGUUGUGUUCAAGGAAUUGGUAAUAAAAUUGAGAAAUUUGUGGUUCGGGUUUACGAAUUCAGUACAAAAAUAUGAUUGUUCCAAUGAAGAACUCUCAUUACUGAAUAUUGACGAGGCAAGCAUUCAAAGAUGGUAAAAAGGAUAUGAUCAAUUCUCAAAAUUAAAGCAAACCAAGAGAGAGCGAUCCUAAUUCAAUUCAAAGUGUCAAAUGUUGCUUAUGGUGGUAUGAAUAAAUAUUUUUAGGCAUUGGGUAGGAUAAAUAAAAACUCUCAACCUGGUUAAAAGAUAUUGAUCAAUCUUGUUUUUGCAGAGGUUUUAAAUAAAAAAUAAAAUUUUAAAUCACCUCCAAUUCAAAGCCUUACUCAUAAAUCAUAAUCAAAACUGAAGCACUUGAUCAUCAUAAAGCAUGGGUAUUGCAUAAACAAAUCGAUUACUAAAACUCCACAACUACGAUUUAGAAUUCAAGACAAUGCUCAUAAUCUAAAGUUGCAAAGAUAAAAUAAAAGACAACCAAGCCAAGGUAGACACUAAAAACACUUGCACGAUCCUUGAAUUUUAUUCAUGCUUCUUCUCACAAAGACGCUAAAGUAGCCAUGUAGGCCUAAGUCUUCCCAAAAGCUUAAGAAAACUACUACUUUAUCUACUUUUGGUUGAAAUAAAAAGACUAAUCUAGACUCUCACAUGAUUCGACUCGACCAAAUUAGAUCCAAAAACUCAUACGAGCGACGAUCUCCCCCCCCUCACGCUUAAAAUCUACGACCUCCUCGUCGUAGCCAUAUGGAGUACAAGGAAAAGAAGCUUGUAAACGCUCUAAUGACGCUACCCGCACUACUUGCACACGGGAUGGUUGCUGCUUCCUUCGCUUUGUUCUUCCUCAUGUUGCUGCACAUCCCGAAGAGCUUCCUCACGUUCCUCUGCAAGAACUUGAACUCGUCCUCCUGACGGCGAUCAUUAUCUUCUGCCUUUUGAUCCAGAGCUUGUAAGGCUUGCAUGAUGUCAUCGAACGCAUCGAAGAGGUAGUGGAUGUUCUUCCUGCAAGCUGUGGAACAUGUACGAUCAUGCUCCUCCGAUUCUGGCCCGUCGUCUUCUAGAUCCUUCUCUUUGCCCUUGUCUUGACGGUGGCUAUCUUGCUCCUUGCUCGCCUUCUUGCCUUCAGCCCAAUCCCAGUACGUGUUGUCAUCUUCUUCAUCGUCACGGCCUGCAGCACCCUAUGAUCCAUUGUCUAUCUUGUAUGAAAGAAUCAGAAGCUUGUUCUCCUCAGGGUGUCUUGCGCGGUGCAGCGUUUGCAAGUGCAAGACUUGCUAGUUCCUUUUACACAUUGUAAUGUUCAUUGCAUGCUCUAAUUGUUCUACAUUUGUAAUUUCUUGGUGAAGUUUGGUUACUGAUCCACUGUUUGAUUAACUCUUGGGCCCAAACACUGUACUACUUCUGAUUAGAUAUCUGUAUCUUGACUUUGACCAAAAAAAAUAUCCGGCAGUUUUUGCCAUUAAAGUUUCAUAAAUCAUCUUGCAAAAAUCGUACUAUACAACAAGGGACGGUUUAUUAUAAAAUAUACGUUCCCCUUAUCACAUGCCACUUCCACUCAAAAGGCAACGAAUCAGUUUUCAAUCCUGAGUGAGCAAUUUGCUUUUAUUACCGAUGCCUCCUAUUCCCUUGUGCACCAAGUUUAUUUUGGAUAGGGCUGCAAAAAACGACUAACCAGCUCGGAUUCUCCACCUGCAAAACCGCAUCUGCAGCAACCAACCCCACGCGGUGGAAAAAAAAACAAAACCUAGAAACCGGACGGGGGUGGAUGUGGGGCUCGGAGCCCAAGCAAAAAACGGAUCGGGAGCGCCGGAGCAGGCCAUCACCGGAUGUUAGAGAUAGAAAAUGGUUGAAGUUUGGAGUGGAAAUCAAACAAGCCUUGGAGCAAAGGAAAAAAAAAGAUCAAACCACUCAAGCAUUCAUUUGAUUUAGAAAAGAGAACAUUUGUUAAGGUGGGGAGUUGAAAUCAUCUUUUAAUUAGUUCCACGUAUCUGGUAUCAUUACAGUUGGUUUACUUGUGUAAGUAUAAGUAGCUCUGCCGAAGCCUUUGCUCCUAUAAUUUAGUAACUAGUACAAAUGGAUCAAUAGGAAAAUCAAGUUGCAAUCAUUUCUCAGCCAACCAAACCUAUGUAAAUCAAAUUAUUGUCCAUGCCCGGCAUGCACAGGUGCCUGCCAUGCAUGCAUUGUUGCUCCAUUGUAAUAACCAUUAUUGUCCAUCGAUGUUGCAGCGCAUGUGUGCACUGUGCAGACACCAAGCAUCGAGAUUAUGUACUAGUAAGGUGUUGAAAUAAUGGGCCUAGCCCAUAAGUAAUUUCAGAAUUUCAAAUAAAUCUCAAAGGCCCAUGUGGGCAAGAGGUGGAGUGGUGCAAGUCUUUAGUCCCACAUUGCUAGUCGAGGGGAGGGAUGACCAACUUAAAUAUGGAAGUUGUCUCCACUCCUCCAAGCUAUGUGUGAAGGGCGCGGGCGCGAGGCACUUGCGUGAAUGGUCCGCCGAAAUCUGGCCCCCCUUGCGGGGGCGCGGCUUCCUUUUGCCGUUUUAUUUUUUGGUUACUUGGUCGUUAAGUCAUGGAAUCCUAACCGGUUUAGAUCACGAUCGUGAAGGUUUUUGGGAAGCGCUCUGCGCGACUGCUCGAUCGCUUCUUCCGCUUCGUCAAGUUCUUCGUCGACUCCUUCACCACGGCUCGUCUACCUCUUCGUCGCUCGGGCCUCACUCGUCGUCGCGAACAACGUCAGGCUGCUGAUCGUCGUCGCCUGCUGUAUCCGGUAGUCGUCCAGGAGCCGGUUUUCAUCAAGAAAGAAACGUACGGUCUCUUAACUCACAUUAUGUCUUCCAUACUAGCUAUUAUGAUUGUUGCAGUCUGAUAGCUCUGGAUAGUAUGGUAGAAUGUCUGAUUCUAUUUGCAAUGAUAGACUUGUCUAGAUCUUGCGUAGACAUGUCUAGUUUAAUCUGCUGCUUGUUCAUCAUAUUCAUGAUUUAUUUCUGGAUUAAGUUAAAACUAAAAGUGCUUAUAUAUCCAACAUAAGGUACCAAGAACACGUGAAGCACCCGGGGGAGGCUGCUCCACUCCGCAUGCACAGGUGGGCACGGCACCACUACUCGUCUCCUUCAGGCUGAGGAUAAGUGAUGUACGCUGAUCAACAGACCACGACGGAACCAGCAAUAAUAGUUUCAGCCUGCCUCACAGUAAUUAAUAUAUCCUGUAUCCUCCGAGGACCCCUCCCCUUAAUCUUGGCCUAUUGCAUCCAAUAAUGAUAUGUGUGUUUAUCCAAAUUUACGGCACCUUUGGCGGGGGUUCCACCCAGCUCCGCCCUCUCCACCUUCGGUACUCCAUGGGAAACCAUUCCUUUGGAAUCAAGGAAGCUUGAACAGUAUAACGAAUAAAGUUUCAUAUAUCCAUUUGAUUUCACAUGAAAUAAAAUAUUCUGUCAGAACCAAUGGUUUCACUGAAGCUCCAGGCAGCGAGCGAAGGGGUGAGAGAGGAUAACGCUUACUGUGUGUUACCAUCGCGUGCACCAUGGAUGACCAACGCGCAGCCGAGAUGAAACGGCGGACCUAAACAGGUCCUCGCUAUUUUUGCAGGUUCUCGACCAGGCCAGUUCUUUAGGCCAACCUAUCAUUCACGAGUUAAACAUACGGUGGCUGGAGAAAUGUUCUAUUCUUUUAAACAAUACCAGCUGGUUCCUCCGUUUUUAUUCCACCAAUACAAGCACCACCUUGUAACAUUUCCUAUGUUUUUUUUCCUUUCGUCUGUUUUCUCACUACAUGCGUUGCUCUUUCAUGCAUUUUUUUCCAUUCCUGUAUUCCAAAUAGGUCUACAUGAACACAAAAUGAACUAGGGGACAGAAAAAGCCAGUGAAGUUAGUUUUGAGCUUCACCAGCUACUUGCUACAUAAAGUGUGCUAUAGUCGCAGAAAAGCUAAGCUGGAUCAGACGUGGCCGAAACAAUGCCAAAGAGCUAGGUCCCUAGCUGAUGGCAACACAUCAGAUGACUAGCCUGCUUUUCUGUAAUAAUGAUAUUGAGCAAUACACUGCAUGGCUAACCUGCUUUACAAUAAUUGUCAUUUUAUAAUAUUGGUCAUCACGAGAGAUGCACAUUGCAUACACCGGCCCAUCCCUAUAAAUAGCCAAGCCUUUCAGCCAUCUUGGGCACCUCCUCUCAGGGCCUCGUCUCACCAUCAGACAUCUCGUUCCCAGUUAUAAUUUGCGAGGUUAGAUCAGGCUGCGCCAUGGCGUCCGCAACUGCUGUCAAGAUCGUCGCCACCUUCAUGCUGGUGCUGACCAUGGGCCACCUGAUGGCCGAAGCAUCACCGCAGCCUCGGCGUGUGCUUGCAGAAACGGAGCAUGCUGCGGUGUCCGGGAAUCCUGGCCUCCCAGGUGAUGCUAGCGUCAUGCAGGUCCUCGAACCCGCCCUAGUUUCUCGGCUUGCCUGCAAACCAGAGUGCACAGUCCCUUGGCCUCCUUUUGUAUGUAUCUGCUAGAUCCUCUUCCUGGCUCAACGGAACUUCAGGGAAAUGGCUGUGACGUCGGCCAAAGAAUAAAUUGGAUGAACAUAAUAUACCCCGGGUAGUGUAGCUUGGGCUUUUGUUGAGCGUCUGGUGCUAGUUGUAUUUUGUUUGCUCAUGUGGCUUUGCUUCUGGUUGCAUAUUGGCUUUCCUAUCGCUCUCUGUUGCAGCUAUGGUUUCUGCCAGGUGUGUGUUAAUGCGGUUUGUAAGCGGUGCUUGUUCCUACCUUCUGUUUUCAAUAAAAGAAGUCGGAGUCUCCCUCCGACUCUUGUUAUCAGUCAACAAAAAUGAGUUGUAUCAUAUAUAUCUGCGUCUUUUUUCUACGUAUCUUUGGGCUGCUUCAGCUGGAAGUUUAUCGUAAGUACGUGUAUCAGGAUGAUCGUUUGAAUUAAAACGAAAUGAUAAUGUGUGGCUGCUAGAAAUGGAAUGAGCAUCUUACUAUAUUACUAAUUGGAAGCCUCCACGUGAAGCCACCUAGAAAUUCUAGGUGGACGUUUUAAAAAAAACAAAACUCAUAGAAGCCUCCACCACCUAGGAAUCCUAGGUGGACACUCUAAAAAGAGACAAAUCCUAGAAAUUCUAAAAAAAGAAAAAAAUAAUAACAAUAAGAUUUUUUUGCAGUCAAUUACAUAUAUUUUUUUGAGACACCGUGCUGCUAGCUCUUGCCAUUGCGACCAGUAAAGCAAGCAGAUAGUAAGAUGACAUGCGUGUGGAUUGAUUAAAACAAAUUCAGUUAGUUGAUUCUAAAUCGUAUGUAUCCUAAAAGGAAGAUAUGUGCGUGCAUGGUCCCUAGCGAUGACAUGUAGACAUGUAUUGCAAUUUCUUUUUUAAAAAACAUGUCUAUCUCUAAACCAACAAACAGAAAAAAUAUCAAUCUAAAUCUAAAUCUCUUCCGUUCUCACACGCCUAUUAAAGAGAAGACAACCAAUCCCAUCCAUGUUCCAUAGAAUCCAUCUAAAAGCUUGCUCACUGCGGACGGCAUUUGACGGCAAAUCAAUGAAAGAUCAUCCUCUCCAAAUAGCUGGACGGCAUCACCAUCUUUAUCUCACCAACCUACAGAGCUACAACGAUGUUGUAGAGAUCAACUAGGUAACCUACCAAUCACCCUCCCCUUUUCUAUAUGCUCUAAAGAACACGUGGAGUAAUUAUAGGCCUAUAGGAGCCGACUAACCUAGAUUAAUAUGAAAAAUAUUCCAAUAUUAAAAGCAAGCAGAUAGUAAUACUUGCCUUUGACCAUUUUUCUAGAACUGUUAUUCCUAUUGAAUGUUCAAGUGCUACGGCCAGGCAUCGAAUGCCUGCACGGAACCUUCCUAUUGAAUGGUUACUCUAGAGAUCAACGCACCGCGAGACAUUUUUAUGGAAUUUGUUUGAUUCCCCUUCUACAAUUAGAUUAAUUUUUCAUGGCAUAUAUUACUACUAUUAAAUUAUUUGUUUAUUGUCGGGCCUGCUGCAUGUGUGGUAUAUAUGACUUGCUUCUCACCAUUGUUCUCAAACUAUUAUUCCUAUCGAAUCUUUCUAUCGAAAUAUAUUUUAAUUACUUGAUUGUUGUUUGUGUACCAUAACUUCUGUAUAGAAAAAUUCCAUGUUUGUAGAUAAUGUCUUUUGUAUAGAAAAAUAGCCCAAUUAGAUCCAUCACCAUCUUUUGCUUAUGUAGUUGAACAAGUUGCAAUGUUGAACAAAACUUUAAGUGAAAUUAGACCAGGAAAAGGAAUUGUGGAACAUUAAGGCAAGGGUAACCAGAUUGUGGAAUGCAACCUUACUCAGUAGUGGCGAACAAUUAAGUCUUGACAUGAUCCUUAUUGAUCAAAAGGUAUGAUAGAUGUUCACUUUGAUUGCAUUAUUGGUAUAAUUUUUGGUUUACAAAUUAUUAAUGAUGAUGCAAAAUUAGGGAACCAUGAUCCACGGUGUUAUCAAUAAGCCCUAUAUGAAAAAGUUCAAACCAUUGAUUGAAGAAGGCAAUGUGUACAUAAUUGCAAAUGUCAGAAUCACACCAGAACCACAGAAGUAUCGGCCAGUGGAAAAUGACAGGAUAGUCAACUUCUUACCCACAACUGCACUAAAAACGAUCAAAGAUACUGAAGACAUUCCAAAGUAUAGUUUUAACUUCAUGAGCACGGAUAUGCUUUCAGCAAGAAUAAAUGUGGACAUGUACCUAUUAGGUAAAACAUUACUGGCUUUUCAAUUUUUACACUUCCACUCAUUAAAUGACCAUCUAAUAAUAAUACAUAUUUAUGUUUCAUAGAUGUUAUAGGUAUCUCAGCUCACAUUGGACCGAUAGAAGAAACAAGGACAAACUUCGGAUUUACUAAAAUCCGUGAUAUUGUGCUCCUGAUCGAGUAAUUCUCUUUUCUUUUGUAGAAAACAACUACAAAACUUUCAACAUUUACAUGUAUGUUAUAGAACUUCUGUUGAACUAAAAAAUAUCUUCUACAGUGCCCCUACAAAUAAUUAAUUUCGUAGUUGGAUAUUUAAAAUAUUUAUUAUUCACUUUUAAAUUUGUGGCCAUGAAGUUAAAGUUAGAUUUUGGGGAGACAAAGUUGAGGAAGUUGAUGAUAAGACAAAAUCCCAUGUCAUUGCAAUAACAUCUACAACUGUGAGUAAAUUUGGCAGUAAGUCUUCAUUCAAUAUGAGUUAUUCAAUAUUAGUCAUUCAACAAACUAACCUCGUAAGAAAAAUAAAUAAUUGAUGUUUUAUCAGGGUAUUCUCUAUCGUCAACCAAUGCAACAAAACUUUAUGUAGAUCUACCUAUUCCUGAAACUAAGGAUGCACAUGAUAGGUGAGAAAAAUUAGAUAUUGUUUUUCUAUUUUAAUCUAUGUAGCAUGCACUCUAACAUGAUACAUUCUUUCAUAUGAUAAAAAAAUGUUAGUUCAAUUGAAAAUAUUGUCAAAGAGAUUCAUAUUGAGGACCAUCUAAAAGGGACAUUGGAAGACCAAAUGCAGUACAAUAGAAGAACUUUAGAAGAAUUAAAUUUCAUAUUAUUUGAAACAUCAAAUCAGGUAUGGAUUAGUAUGUUCAUUGUACACUAUACUAUUUAAAGACUUACAUACAUAAUGAUGGUAUUGUUCCUACUUUCAGGAUGAGGUAUUUACUAUUGAAGCAACAAUAAAUGAAAUUAAUGCAACAUAUGGUUGGUUGUCACACCCGAUUUUAAGGACAAAAUUGAGUGCAUUAAAUACAUGUGCACCAGGAUCAAGUUACACACAUCCUAUGAGUACCGUCCUUCUUUGGCACAAAGAUAACCGGUGCUCCCCAUGGUGAUGAACUAGGCCGAAUAAACUAUUUUGCUGAUAAUUCCUCUAGUUGUUGUUUCAAUUCUUUUAAUUGUUCAACCAACAUUCUAUAAGGACGUUUGGAGAUAGGUGCAGUACCAGGUAAAAGAUCAAUAGCAAAUUCAAUGUCGCGGUCAGGUGGCAUACCUGGUAAAUCGUCGGGGAACACAUCCGGAUAGUCACACACCACUUUGAUAUCUUCCAAGGAUUUUCCAGCCAACUGAUUAACUGCACAAUCUGCUGCUGAGGGUAGAGUAGCUACAAACUCCACUUUCUCUCCAUCAGGACCUGUUAGCAGAACUGUCCUCUUGGCACACUGAAUCGUUGCAUCAAAAGCGGCUAACCACCUCAUCCCCAGAAUUACAUCGAUUCCACUGGACUCAAGGACGAUAAGAUCAGCCGGAAACUCUAUACCCAUUAUUCUCAGUUUAACUUGUGGACAGAUGUAUUGAGCCUUCAUUGACCCCCCAGGUGAACUCACUAGCAUAUGACGCCUCAUGGUAUGCAUGGGUAAAUUAUGCUUUGCUACAUAAUGACUAGUGACAAAAGAAUGCGAUGCUCCAGAGUCAAAUAAAACUGAUGCGGGGGCAGAGUUGACAAAGAACAUACCAAGCACUACAUCUGGAGCCUCCUUAGCAGUCUCGGCUUCCAUGUGGUUCACCUUGCCACAAACAAAGCUUUGCUGCCCCUGAUUGCCUUGUGGGGUCUGGUUCCCAUUCCUCGGUUGCUGCAUCUGAUUCUGCCGAGGAGCACUGCUGUUCUGCACGGGGGUAGCUGGCCCACCUCUCUUAGGACAAGAGCUGGCAUAGUGACCAACCUCGCCACACUUGAAGCAGGUAGGACCCACUGGAGCAUUGGGCCUUGUUGGAGUGCCAGUAGGGGUCAUCUGGCGGUUCUGCGUAAAGCUUGGGCGCGGAGUCUGCAUAGUCUGCAUCCCUGGAUGCUGGAACUGAGGGCUAGGGCGCUGGAAUGACUGCUGAGCAGGGCGCGGAAAUGAGUGCUGCCAAAAAUUCCCACUCGGGCCCCCUGCGCGGAACGGCGUCCCUUGCUGUGGAGCAAAGCGAGGGCGGGUGUUGCUUCCUGAAGACUACUGGGAAUUGAAUUUCCUCUUCAUCUCCCCGAGCUCGUUCCUCUUGUGUUCCAGGCCAAUUGCCUUGUCUAGCAUCUUCUGGAAACUGGGGAAGGUGUGCGACAUAAGCUGAUAUUGGAGUGGUCCAAUCAACCCAUCCAAGAAUAGCUCCUGCUUCUGCUCAUCAUCAGCAACAUCUUCGGGAGCAUAUCGGGACAACUGGACAAACUUGUCCCUGUACUCUGCCACUGUCAUGUUCCCCUGCUUGAGAGCAAGGAACUCCUUCUUCUUAAGCUUCAUCAAUCCGGAAGGAAUAUGAUGACUUCUGAAGCUAGUCCUGAAUUCAUCCCAGGUGAUGCCAUUAGCAUUGGCAUGGGUGGUGGUGUAAGCAUCCCACCAAUCAGCAGCUGGCCCUUCCAGGCGUCCUGAAGCAUACAGGACCUUCUCCCUGUCAGUACAUUGGGCGAUAUCCAGCAUCUUCUCCACUGUUUUCAGCCAAUCAUCAGCAUCUAAUGGAUCCGGAGAAUGUGAAAACGUCGGGGGCUUGUGGCUCAUGAACUCCCUAUGCCUGUCCCUUGGCGGCGGCUGCUGCUGGUUGUUGUUGUUGUUAUUGUUCAGCUGAGCUUGUAAAGCUGCCACGGUGUUGGUCAGUCCGGCGAGAAGCUGAGUCUGAGCUGCUAGAAACUGCUCCAUCCCUGCAGGUGCUUGUUGGUUCUGUUGCGGAGCGGUGUUGGGAUUGCUGCUGUUGUCCCUGUGGCGUGGCACUGUGGGACGGUCAACUCCUGAUCCGGACCUGGUGUUUACCAUCUGAGCGUUAGAGACAAUGGAUUUAGAUAGAUGUGUGAAAGAAUAACUGAGAAAGAUAAAGCGACCAGAUGUAAAAGUAACACAGAUUCUGUUAGCUCCAUUUAAUUAGGUGUGGUCGUCAGAAGAAGUGUCCAUAAAUUCUGAACAAUUACCAAGUCGUAACUUAUUAAAUUUGUAAACCAACCCAACUGGAAUCAUCUCAAUCGGACUUCUGGAUCUCGAGUUACAAAAUUAACAAGCUGACAGUGUCGGUCGAUAGGUUCAGAUUCUGAGUGCUUUACUAAUUCGCAUACACCUCCCAGACAGAUACACCAAAAAUUCUGAAAAAUUUACAGAUAGUACUCCACGAAAUUCUGAAACUAACCCCACUGGUUUCAUGUCAUUUGGACUUCUGUAGCUAGAGAUAUAAAUAAAAAAGUACUGGCGUGUCAGUUAAUGUCGAGAACAGAAUUGAAUGUCGCUUAGCUUGCGUGAUGGAUAGAUUUAGACAGAUGGUAGAUCAUGAUUAAGGAAGAUUAAAUACUGAUUUAGAACAGAAAUAAAACCCAACUAAGCACUUUAUUUAUUAAGACCAGUAUCGUGUGGCAAUUGCCCCACAUACCGCACUCAUUACAAAAUCCAACUCAAACAUGUAGCACAAAACCAAUCAUCUAAGCACACUUUAACUAACACACUCGAACGACGUCUAACGAUUACAAGAAUUUAAACUAAAACACUCCUAAUUUCCUAGAGGUCUUCUGCGGCGGUGCCGGGCGAGUCGUAGCGGGGACGCUUAGGCGACGGCGACGAAGCGGGAUGAACAGCAAACUCCUGCGGCGGCGGUGCUCCCGUCGCGGCAGCCAUAUUCGCAUCCCUCUCCCACCGGAGUUCCUGAACCUCCUGUUGAAGCUCCUGGAUGUGGUUGUUUGCUUCAUUCAAUGCGGUGAGAGCUGCCGACGUGUACUUGCGGAGGAAGUCUGUAGCCAUGUCAACCCCAUCGUUAGUAGCGAUGAAGGUUCUUGCUUCCCCACUAGCUCGGUAAGGAAGGAACCGAUGGUAAGUGUGCUGCAAUCGCGGCCGUUCCUUGUGGGAGACGACCUCAAGUGCCCUCCUGGCGGCCUCGGCAAUGCCGGAUUCCAUGGUCCUCCUUAUGGUCACAUCAUGGUGAAAAGCCUUCACCUCCCAUCCUCCCUCGUGCUCCUCACGAAGGACAACCUUCACCUCCCAAAAAGUGGGAUAGCGAGGGUGGGUGAACCGGGAGCACUUGUAGAGUGGCCUCAUGCCGUACCCCAAGCGGUGACAAGUCCACCUGAGUAUGUCGGCCAUGUGCACUCCUUGGCCAUAAUCUUCCUUCACCCAUUUGAUCCAUGUCUCGGGCUCGGGAUCUGCUUCGGGCUCAUCAUCCGUCAAGUCGACGACCGGUACGGGCGUCGGGGCUGGUGCAGGAGCGGGCGCCGGUGCUGGCGACGGUGCUGGUGACGGCGUGGUCUCCUGCUCCACGGUCACGGCGUCCCCGUCAGAGUCAUCCCCCGGAUGCUGGAAGAUCUCUUCCUCUUCUUCCUCGUCCCAAGGCUCCAUGGGGGCGUACGACGGCGCGAUGCCAUGACGCGGCGGACGGGUGCUCUUGCGUGCGGUCAACCGGGUGCGAGCCAUCUAACAGAAAGAAAGAAGAAAAUUUUAGAAUAAAAUUUUGAACAAAGCUAGAUAAUAAAAUAGCAAUAAGGAUGAGACAAAUCAAGUUUAAGAAUAAUUAAGUAGAUUUAAAUUAAGAAAGGUAGGAAUGGCUACUAGAUUAUUAUAAUCCUUAAAUACGACCAUUUUCUAACUAGGCUAACGUCCUACAGUCAACACGGCUCUGGUACCACUUUUGUCACACCCGAUUUUAAGGACAAAAUCGAGUGCAUUAAAUACAUGUGCGCCAGGAUCAAGUUACACACAUGUACGACAAUAGUGAAUAGUAAAGCCAGUGCUAAAUCGAAUAAAGAGAGUAUUAACCAUUAUUACAUGACCGAAUGUCUCAAAUAAACCACAAAGUCUAAUUAUUACGCAGCGGAACUCCAAAGAUGACGACGACUCCAUAGGCAGCUGACUGAAGAAACGUACGCCUAGAACUCCUCGAAGUCGUGGAAGUACUCCUCUUCCCAAUUAACUUGGUCUGAACAGCGGUUUUGCAAGGGUGAGUACACUUAUGGUUGGUACUCAACAAGUCGUGGGAAGUAGUGUAGUGUAAGGCUAAUUCAAGGUAUGGCUAAGGCGUAAAUAGCAUUCGCUUUUAAUUAAGUUGGUCAAAUUUUAUUAGCAUUUACUAAGUAUAAGUUCAUACCACCCGAAAUUAAACAUGAACAUAAAGUAAACCACAUGUGCAUGAAAUGAUAACAAAUUAAAUCCAUCUUCCGAUAAUAUUAUCAUGUGAGGGUCCAGGCCGCUCUUAACCGUGAGCACGGCUGAUUGAUCAGUUUAACACUCUGCAGAGGUGGCACAUCUUUACCCACAAGUCGCGUAAAAGUUCAAAAGAACUUUGGACCCAACCAUGCGGUGUUUGCAAGGCACCAUACCACACUUCCGAGGUGUGAUUGCAUAGGGACGCUACGAGGCCUUUACAAAGAUUCAUUAAUCAGUGGUAACCCGCUAAGGUUUCGGUGUCUGGCGUGCACCACCCAUCCCAGGUAAAAUGCAACGACUCAGUCCCCCCCCUUGAAUCAUCACGAGUAAGGUCACCCCAGACUAAGGUUUCUAAUUAAUCAGCCAAGACCAGAGCUAUUUAGUCUUGUGGUAGCACUGUUUUCCUGGGUGGUCGCUCCAUGUUCUGAUUAACAAAUAAUGAUCUUGUCUUAAUGAAAGGUAUAACAGAAAUAAGGCAAGAUUAAGCAUUGUUUUUAGUUAAACCACCAUGUACCAAGUAAGCACUAAGCAUGAGCUACCCAACAUAAAGUAAACCGGUUGGUCAAGGCAAAGGUAAAACAAUCUAGGCCAACCUUAAUUGGGACCCAUCAAUUUAAUCUUAAUAUGUGCACAGCAUAAAUGUUGAGUACGAGAAAGUAAAGGUGUAUAGGACAAAAAGGUAGUGAUCAAGGACACGACUUGCCUUCUUGGCCUUGCUCCUGCUGUUCGUACUCCUCGAAGGCUUGAUCGGCAACUCCCUCGAACUGCGGGGCGUCUACACGCAUCACACGAGCACAUACAAGCAAACAUGGGCAAAAGUAAGAAAACAGUAUACCAAACAUAGUCAAACAGAGAAAACAAGCUUGAAAAGAUGAUCUACGCUUUAAAACGAACACGCGGAUAUAAAGAACGCGAAAAACGGAGUUAAGAUGCAAAAGAUAUGAUUAAAACAAAAUCCAGGGACUUUUCUGUAAGAAAAACAAAACUUUUAGGGCCUAUCCGCGAAAACCGAGGGCUUAUACGUAAUUAUGCGUAUAAACCGAGGGUCUGAUGCGUAAAAACAUCAAACCCGGACGGCGGGUUGAUUUCUGGAAAGGUCAAGGGUUAAACCGAAAAAUGCGAGGGCAGAUCUGUAAAUACUUUCAACGCGAUCUGGACCGCGGGUUGAUUUGCGAAAAAGGCGGGGGCUAAAGUGCAAAAACUGCACGGCGCGGCUCGGUUGACCGGUACGCGAUCUUGAUUGACUCGCGUCCGGCCGUCGGAUUAAGAUCCGACGGUCGCGGUGAUCCGCGACAUCGCGGCGGCGGCGGCGAGCGGCGGCGAGCGGCGGCAAGCGGCGGCGGGUCGCCGGAGUUAGGCAAAAUAGCGCCACGAGGCACGGUUUAACGCGCGGGUUGCACCAAAAAAGAGAGGGGAACACGUCGAUCCCGUUUUGGGGGUUCUUGUCGACGGGGGCUCACCGGCGACGGCGAACGGCGGCGAGGAAGAGGCGGCGGCGCUAGGAGCUCGGGCGGCUAGGGUUUCGGGGAGCUGCGGCGCUGGUUUUGGGCGGAGGAGACUGGGAGGAGGCGGCGGCUUUUAUAGGGCUUGGAGAUAGAGCCGGCGCGGGUUCAAAUCCCCCGGAGGAGUCGGAGCGGAUGGAGUCCGGGGCGGAGACGGCGCGCGGCGGUUGCGGAGUUCUGACCGGAUUCGGCCGGAGGUGGGAGACGAUGGGUGGGGUCCACCCGUCAGUGGCGGAGGGGAGCGGUAGACGGGCCGGCGCGACCGUGGGCUGGCGCGCGCUCGUGGGCUGCGGGGAGCGGGAGAGAAGCGGCGAGCGGGCGCUGGCGGAGCAGGCCGAGCGGAGGUAGAGCUGGGCCGCGGAGAAAAAGGAGGAGGCCGGCGGGCUGCUUCGCAGGCCGGUAAGGAUGAGGCGGCCGGGCCGAAGAAGAAAAAGAAAAGGAGGGACAAGGAGCUUUCGGCCGAGGGAAAAGAAGAAGAAAAAGAAAAGGAAGAAGAAAAGGGAAAAGGUUUUGGAAUUUGAAUUUAAAUCUGAAAUUCAAAAUUUGAUUCAAACUCAAGCAACCAAAAAUUAUGCUCCAGCAUGAAUGCACAAAUAAUUCCUAUGAUGAAUUAAUUGAAUUAAAGAAAAUGAAUUUAAAUGCCUAGAAAUUAAAUAACACCCUAAUUUGAGCAAAUUUUAAUGAAUUUGAAUUAUUGAAAUUUUGGGUGUUACAUUGGUACUACAUCUCAUGUAGUAGAGGCGAUUGUAAGAAGCAACUUGAAAAGAAGUUUGAUCACUACUAUUGCAAUAAAUGUGACAAGAGAGCCGAACCUAAAGCCCAGUAAAUUAUUUAGUAGUUUACAAUCUUAUUAUAAUACUUCUAUUUCUAAUAGGAGAAUAAUAUUUUCAGAUUCAAAUUAAGCUUCAAAUAAGUGAUCCAACAACAAGUGCAACUUGUGUACUUUUGACAAGGAAGCAGAAAUGAUAAUUAAUGAAUGAGCAGAUUCGAUGAUCACCUCAGUUGAUCAUGAUAAUAAGUAGCUACCAAAAUCAAUUCAGGAAAUAUGUGAAGAAACAUUGAUUUCUCAAUUCAGAUUGACCGAGUACAACUUGACAAGUUUUAGACCUGAUUAUACUGUUUCAAAGAUAUUUUUUCCAAAAGAAAAGGGCAGUUCAAGAAUUGGUAUGGAAAGUGUAAAAAAGGUAACACUUUAUUAUUAAUUUUUUAUUGCACUUUUUUCUUUUGAAUCCGUAAUACUUAAUAAUUUUACUAUAUCAAUGAAACAAAUUCUAACCUAAAUUUAUUUUCUUUUUUAUUAUUUGUAGGAAGUAGAAGACAACUCAGACAAAUGCUACACGAUAACUACCGAGAAUGAAGAGGUAGACACUGAUGACUCUUUUACCGAGAAAGUAACAUUCGUAGAAGAAGCCAUAAGGACUGGGGAAAGAUUGGCUAGAAAAGUAUACUCACUUCCAUGUCAGUGUUCAUUCUAUUUACAAUACAUGCAAAAAAAAUAUUAUUCAUGCAAAAUUGCAGGUCUACUAAGCAUUAAAGGAAUAGCGGAUAGUGCAAUAUGUAAUCUGAGCAGCAUGCAUUACAAAGUGCUCUACUGCAAUUAAAUUAAAAAACAUGAUAUAUGUUGAAUUCUUAGACUUUAUUAUUAUACUUUUCUACGUGACAAUUCACAAUUUUUUAGAAAAAAGAAGAUCCCAGAAGAAGUGACCAUGAAAAAAGGUCUAUGACCAGCAAUAAGAAAAAAUGCAAGCAUAGAAACAAAUCCGUAGAAAACAUAGAAAAUAAGGUACUCCAUAAACAAAAGUAUUCUCUUAUAUUUUUAUUAAAUAUUUUUUUAACACUUGACAAGUUCUUUUUUAGGAUCAAUAUAUCAGCAAUUCAGAUGUCAUUGGAGAUGAAACCUUAGUUCAUCCAAAAGGUCAAAAAAAAACAUCUGAAGAAAGGUGUUUGGCUGAAAAGGAAAAGCAAAAAAGUGGUAAUGCAGACAAACACAUGCAGAAAAAUAUAAAAACAUGUCAUAGGGAGGCAGACCAAUCUUGCAAGGAGGUAUAGACGAAACGUGAUACACGACCUGCCUACCUUGUCGUGGAUACCCCAAGAAGAUGUCAUAGAGGUGCAGACCAAGCUAGCAAGGAGGUCGAAACGUGAUACACGGCCUGCCUACCUUGCCGUGGAUAUUAGCCCUGAGAUCAUUCUACUGUUCAAGGAAUAACACUCAAUGCUGCUGCUGCUGCUGACCUGGCUCCAUAAAGUUAUACUCCUCUAGGUGCUUGCACUAACUUUAUCUGAAGUAUUAUUCUCUCUGCACUGUAUAUAUGGUUAUGGAGUUUGCUGGAGUAUCCGGGGCGAAGAACCUACAUAAUACGUCUUGGAACUAAUUGACAUUGAUUCACAGACAAACUCUACAAGGUGCUGUUCUUGCCAUUUUAGAGCAUCCAAAGGACUAUAAAUAACAUAGUUUACCAUAUACCAUAUACCAUAUACCAUAAUAUGUUAGCUAAAAUAAGAGCAUACACAUGUUGCAGGAGUCCAAAAGCACCGGUUGAGGACCAGGUACAUUGAAUUACUAGAAAAAGACAGGGGACAAGGUUUAGGUAACCACAUGAAACAUUUGAAUUUAUUGUACUAUGAACACUUAGUUACCAUGCCAGGAGCACAUAGUUAACACUAACAUUUAGCCACUUUAGAUCAUCCCGAAUCACCAAUGACCCUCAAUAGUGACAAAUUUUGGUUUAAAUGCCAUCACCAAUGAUCCUCAAUAGUGACGUAUUUAGGUUUAAAUCCCGUCACUAAUAACCCUCAAUAGUGACCUGUUUUGGUUUAAAUCUCAUUACCACUGAUCCUCAAUAGUGAUGUGUUUUAGCAAAACAUGUUAUCAAUGACUUGUCAUUGGUGACGUGUUAAAACGCGUUAUCUCAAUGGCAAAUCAUUGGUGACGUGUUAUCUCAAUGUUAUCAAUGUUCUAUUCUUUUCAACAAUACCAGCUCGUUCCUCCGUUUUUAUUCCACCAAUACAAGCACCACCUUGUAACAUUUCCUAUGUUUUUUUUCCUUUUGUCUGUUUUCUCACUACAUGCGUUGCUCUUUCAUGCAUUUUUUUCCAUUCCUGUAUUCCAAAUAGGUCUACAUGAACACAAAAUGAACUAGGGGACAGAAAAAGCCAGUGAAGCCAAUUUUGAGCUUCACCAGCUACUUGCUACAUAAAGUGUGCUAUAGUGACGUGUUUUAGCAAAACAUGUUAUCAAUGACUUGUCAUUGGUGACGUGUUAAAACGCGUUAUCUCACUGGCAAAUCAUUGGUGACGUGUUUUAAAAAAACAUGUCACCGUGAGAGUCAUUGGUGAAGGGUAAUUAAAAUGCGUCACUAAUGUUGUAGCAUUAGUUAUGAUAAUUUAGUAACGCAAAAAUCUACCAUCAGUAUUGAGCUUUAGAGCCAUCGCUAAUGUGGGUUUCUUACAUAGUGAUGCAAGCUCUACAAGGUGCUGUUGCUGCCAUUUUAAAGCAUCCCAUGACUACAUGUUAAUAACAUAGUUUACCAUAUAUCAUAAAAAUAUUAGUUACAAUAAGCACAUACGCAUGUGGAAGAGUCCGAAUGCACCGGUUGAGGACUAAACACAUUGAAUUACUAGAACCAAAUGUAUGUUUAGAACAAAGACAGGGGUCAAGGUUUGGGUAACCGCAUUAAAAACAUUGGAUUUUACUGUACAUGAACACUUAGUUACCAUUACCAUGCCUUGAGCACCUAGUUACAACAAACAUUAAUUUAGCCACUUUAGAGCUUCCAGAAUCGCUAUAAAUAAUAUACCUACGCCGUACCAUGAAAACAUCAAGAAGAGAGACGGAUACAUGGACCACCAUCAAGCGAGUAGUGACAGCACGCACAAGAAUACCCGGAACCUGUUAGCUUGUCUGUAGUGAUCUGUUUUCUUCCCCAUAAAAUCCAUGAGUAUUGCCACAAAUAAUGAAAGAGGCUGACCAAGCUAGCAAGGAGGUAGAGCAAACGUGAUACACGGCCUGCCAAGAUUGCCCUGGAUACGCCAAUAAGAGCGACAGAUACAUGGAUCACACCAAUAUGGUGAAACGUAUAUUCAUCACACAAGCAAAGCUGGUCAGUUUAUCCAUGGUCAAAUUGUGGUCUUUGUUUUCACUUGAGAGCUAAUUGAGGCACUAUAAUAUGGGCAGGCCUAUCUUCAACAGACAUGACAGCUACAGGGAACUUGACAUAAUUUGCUGGGCCGCCUGUGCACAAUUAUUUGUUUUAUUGUCCUUGCAUAGAAUGCUAAAAUACUCUUUACAAAAUGUUGGAUCUAAUAUUUGAAAUAUAGAGUAGUAAUCAUAUAUUGAUCAACAACUUGAAAUUAUCUGUACAUUCUCGGUGAAGCUGUUGAACUAAUUUUUGCAAAUUAUUAAUUCAUCUCAUUACGUAAAGAAAAAAGUAAGUGGAUAAGAUAUUUCGUGGACCACAUCACUGCAAACAUGUCAUGGAGAGACAGACCAAGGAGGCAGGACGUGAUACACGACUUACCCUAGGUUGCCGUGGAACCGCCAAGAAGAGAUACAGAUACAUGGACCACACCAUCUUGGGAGUAGUGACAGCAUAUAUGCAGAAGAAUACCCCGUGCCUAUUUGCAUGCAUGUCUCAAGUGAUCUGUUUUCUUCAGAAAAUACAUGAGCAUUGCCAGAAAGAAUGGCAAGAGACAAACAUGUCAUAGAGACUUGCAUGUCUUGCCUUGGAUACGCCAAGAAGAGGGACACAUACAUGGAUAACACAAAUCUAGUGACACGUAUAUUCAUCACAAAGGCAAAUCUGAUAAUUUUAUCCAUGGAGCAGACCAAGGAGAAAUUGAUGACGGACAUGUGAUCUCUGUAUUCAGUUGAAAGCUAAUUGAGCUACACUAAUAUGAGCAGGACUAUAUUCAAGAGACUUGUUGAGAGCUACAGGGAACUUGUAAUAAUUUGCUGGGCGGCCUGCGCACAAUGAUUUGUUAUACAUAGUUGAAAUAUUUCAAGAAUUUAUCAACCUCAUACUCUGAAACCCUUGGUGCAAUGUACUCUGCUUUCCGAGGUAGACUGUUCACGUAAAAUGAGGUCAUGCGUAAGACGGAAUCGGAUUGGAUUCACAGGGAAUCAGAUUUGGAUAGCACCUUUUAGCAGGUUUUUAGUCAAAUGCAAAUUCGGAUCCACAUGUGGUUGAAUGCGAGUUCAAAAUUCUACUUGGAUAUCCAUUUAAUUUAGGUGAUAGCAAUUAGCACAAAAUGUUGGAUGAACAAAAUCAUAGUUAGACAUACAAUUACAUGUAUGGUUAAAGUAUAAUACAAUACACCAAGAUUAUUCCUUGAAAAUAUUUCUUAAAAAUAUUAUAAUAAAUGAAUAAAUAUAAUUGUGGCCACCAACAAAUAGUCGGUGGUCGCUAAGUUGGAGCCAUUUCUGGUUACUAAUGCGGCCUUCUCCUCGACCAGCGACGACAGCUGAGCUUGUUCCUUCUGACACUAAAUCAUCAGAGUCUUCCCUCCACUACUAUAGAAUGCACCUUUAGCACCAAUUGGGAAAUCCCCUUCAGUAUUGGAUGCUGCAACCAGUGCUAUAUAUCAAAAUGGAGACUAAAAGCCUCGGUCUUGGGUACCGGUUGCAUAACGCAUUACUAAAGGAGGCAAAAGAGAAAUGUAACAAAAAAAAUAUUUUGAAUUCCAAGAAUGUUUCACUAUUCAAGAUGACUAGCUGAGAGUCAACAGACAAGAUACUAGGAAUGUGGGUGCUUGAAUGCAUUUGUACAGAGGUCAUACUAUUUACAAACUCUUCUAUGUUUCCAUAUGACUACCUACUUCAAUGUCACGCGAGCCAUUCAGCUGGACACAUGGCACACUAGCUUGCAUGUCGAAUCCAUGAUUAAUUAUUUGCACUUGUGAUCUCUUACCAGUAUUUGUCCAGACUAGAAACGUGCAACACAUUUUUAGGAUAUGGACACGCAUAUAUUUGGACUAGUAUACAGGUCACCUUUGGAUGCGUACAAGGAUGACCGGGAGGGACUAAUGGAUACAAGGAAGGGACCAUCAGGAUUAAUAUUGACAUAUGCCACAUGACAAUCUUCAUUGUCAUGCAAUCCCUAUCAACAAUCAUGGAAUCCCUAGUGUACUAAUCCCUGGAGGGUUGUGUGGAAAUUUAUUUUACCUUGCGGUGAAAAUCUCAUGAGCAGUCAUUAGUUAAGCUGACUAGCUGAGAUAUAAUAGACAAGCUAGUAAGAUUGGGAGCAUCAAUGCAUCCAUACAGGGUCACAAUAUCCUUUCCAUUCACUUUUAUAUAUAACCCUACGAAUACAAGUCCAACGAAAUGCGGGCCUUUCGAUCAAGAUAAAUUAAAUGGCCCACUUGUAUUUCUAAUCCAGGAUUAACUAUGCCCUCUGUUCAUCUCUUGCAAGCACGUGCAACACAUUUUCACGAUAUGGACAUGCAUGGAGGUUAUUAUACUGUUUGGACAAACUCUGAUGUGCCAUGACCUAAAUGCUUAGGGCCUGUUUGGUUUGAGUUGCUUAUUAUAAGCAACUUAAAGUUGCUUAAAGUUGCUUAUUUGAAGUUGCUUAUUUUUAGUCUAAACUGUUUGGAUACCCUUGCUUAUGAGCAUUGAAUGAGUUGGACAUUGUCAAAUUUGCCCCAUGUGUUGCUACCCCUCCAAUUUGCCUCCCCACCCUUCUUCUUCCUGCACACGUCCGAUCCCGGGGGCCGACGGCGGGCAGGGAGCAGCAGCAGCUGGCCAGGGCGGCGGUGGGGCGGGAGCGGCGGCGCACACCAGCACGCGCUCGCACGCCAGGUGCUAGGGCGCGGCGAGGCAGUCGUCGUAGCCCACCGGGAGCGGGUGCUCGGGCGCGAGGCGGUACUCGACGGAGAUGCCGAGCGUCGGGCGCGCGGCGGCGAGCGCGUUGAGGAAGCGAUGGUAGUGCGGCGACGUCGCGGACUCCGCCACGAAGCCGCCGCCGUGGACGUACACCACCACGGGCAGCUUCGUCUUGCCGUCGGCGGCCGCGGCCGCGGCCUGGGGUGGCAGGUAGAGGCGGACGGAGCAGGAGCCGAGGUCGACGUCCCUGGAGUCGACGCCCGUGGCGGCGUCCAGGCUGGGCCCGACCGGCGGCGGCACGAGCGGGCGCUCGAUGCGGCCGCUCUUGUAAAUCCGACGGGUCUGUGCGGAGGCGGGCGGCGGGCGGGAGCGGCGGGUGGGAGCGGCGGCAGGUGGUGCGGAGGCCGGCGGCGGCGGGUGGCGCGGAGGAAGGGGAGCUGGUGAGUGGUGACAGGGGAGGGGGGGAGAGAGAGGGGGGGUAGGGUGCAUUGAAUGAGGGCAGGAGGUGUAAAGUGCACCUUUUAGUCCCCAUGAGCAACCAUAAGCAGCCCAAGAGUUGCUUAUUUGCUUAUAAUAAGCAACCUCAUAAGCAAGAGUGAUUGGUUUCAUAAGCAACUUAUUUGCUUAUUUUAAGUUGCUUAUGCAUAAGCAUGUGAAACCAAGCAGGUCCUUAACCUAUGGUUGUGGCACCACACAGUACAUAGUAUUUAAUAAUGCUAUUCGUUUGGUAUGUGCACAAGGGCACGCAUGAAAUGUCUGGCCCACGGUAAACAAGUACGGACGCUGCAAAUAAUCUACUCUGCUCGUCCAGUCCCUAGCCUAUAAAUAGAUGCCAUGCUAGCUCUUGUUGUGCUCACAAUUAAUCCUGACUACACACGAGCUUCUCUCCCUGGCCAAGACACAAUCAUAGUAUGAUGAAGAACAUGGCACUAGCCGGCAAUGGUAUGAAGAACUUAAUCCUCGCUGUUCUCUUACUGUGUCUAGUUAUAGGGCAGAUACAAGUGGAAGCUAAGAGCUGCUGCCCAUCCAUUACUGCAAGAAAUAUCUACAAUGCCUGCCGUAUCACGGGUACAUCCCGUCCAACGUGUGCAAAACUGUCAGGCUGCAAAAUUAUCAGCGGGGACAAAUGCAAGCCCCCUAACGACCACCUCACCCUUGACCCGGACACUGGUAAAUAAUAAAUUUAUCUCACUUGAUUUCUUCGUGUUUUGAGUCGUUAAUGUAUUUUCCAUCUGAUGAAACGUAUUGGUUUUGCAUUGAAGAGGAAGUUAAUGUGCUUAACUUCUGCAAGUUGGGGUGUGCGUCGUCUGUGUGCAACAACAUCAACGCUGGUAAGCACCUUUUGCUCAGACGGAGAAAACAAUAAUCAUUAAUUAGCGGCAGCUAGAAUCCUAUAAUCUAAUAUAUUUAUAUAUAUAUAUAAUUUUAUCAGCUCUGGGAAAUGAAGAGGCGAACGAUGCCGUUGAGAGUUGCGACCAAGCCUGCUCUAGCUUCUGCAACGUGCACGUUGGCGCUGCCACCGUGGUUGCUUAAGCAAAUGCAUCCAACUGGAUCGUCCUUGUGCUAAAUAAUUGGAUAUCGUAUCCACUUAAAGCUGCCUUGUGUAGUACGUUUUUGUUUGUGUCUCUCUUUAUAUUCCAAUAAGGUCGGUGAUCUUGAUGCCACACACUCAGACGUGUGUUCAUCUCCAGAUACUACUCCAUGCUACCUGCCCUUUGUGUUUUGUUCAAUAACUGGGUAUCAUAUCCCAGCCAGUGUGCCAUCUGUUUUGUGUUUAUUUCCUUCUAGUUUCAAAGGGGUUAUCAUGAUGUUACCUUCUUUCGAUAUGGUGCUUUGCAUGACUACUGUUGUAUGGUACCAUCUUGUUGGCCAAUAAAUACAUCUUAUCCUAUGACCCUUUGCUAUGACCCUUUGCAAAUAAGUACAAGAUUGUUAAAUACUCGGUAUAAAUUGACUACUGCUGUGAGUUCCCUUUCAGCUUAUCGUAGGCAUACAUUAUUGCUAGCACGGUGAAGACAACCAACACGAAUGGUCAAGUAAACGUACCGGUACUUUUGUAUACCAACACCCUUGCUUAAAUGUACCGGUGUUACUCCCCACUAGCACAUAUAUUCUUAUAUGCUAGCCGGCUUGAAAAUUAACCGAUUAAAAUAAUUAUUUCAAGACAGAAAUAACUUAUCGGCUUCUCGAAGCAUGUGUAAUGUGAAUUCAAGGACUUGAUGGAAGUUGAAUCGCUUAAUCUAGAUUGCUUUCAGGAUUUUGGGUAACUAAAUUUAACAUUUGCACAUACAAAUGUUAAUGUACAAAUAUUAAAUAUAGUUACCCAAGCAGAAUAUGAAGAUACUCUAUAGUAUAUAUAUACUAUAUAAAUCUAGUUAACAUUUAGUCUAAAUGUUAAAUCUAGUUACCUAAAAUCCUGAAAGCAAAAUGUAUAAAUAUAUAUCUUUUAAGGAAUCCCAAAGCAAGAGUUCAGUGGCAUUCUAUAGUCCCAUGCUGCUAGUUUGAGUUGGUCGAAGCCAACUUAAAUAGGAGAGCUCUCUCACUUCUCUAAAUACGUAACUGAAGGAGAGAAGGGGGCUUGGUUACACAACGCACGCACGCACGCAUAUUUGCGUUCUUUUCGCGUAACCAACCGCGUGACUUGAAACUUGCGACGUAGCGUGCUGCCAAGUCAAGUUGAUAUAACCUUUUUGCCGUAGGCGUGUAAUCUUUUGACAACGGUCAUUGGAGGUGAUAAGCACGCAGUCAAUACCUUAAUCCUGAGUUAAUAGGGCGGUUACUACUGCCAAUUAGUGGGGCAAUUUUGUAGGGGAAACGGUUAGCAGAGGGCUACCAUCUUCUCUAUAAGAAGUUCUGGAGACGUCCAGGAACACACAUGUACAUGUGAGAGACCCACGAAUUCCUUCCCAUCUCCCUUUUCCAUCUGGUGAAGUGUGCUAUGGUACUGAGCUGCUGGAUCUCGCCGGCUCUUCUCCUUGGCGUGCACCGAGGAGGAGGGUGAGCGGUAUCUCCGAGCUAUUGCCGUCAGGAAGCCUGCACGAGGGACAACAAUAAAGUUUUUGGGUAGCGCAACUACGCAACCGCUCGAUUCGAUCGACUAUGUUCUGCGCUGCCUCAUCUUCGAUCUGCACUGCAACACGUAACCCUGCAGCAAGUCUACACAAGGACGGAGCACUAAUCUGUAAGUCCUAGAUUGGUUUCUUACAGAGUUGUAGGUUACACAAGAUCUAGAAUUGUUACAUACUUAUUAUUAUGGGUUACAUGAUGUUUUGUACGGUUACGUCUAUUUUGCAUAUGCUAUUUUUACAUACCGUUUACAUGCAUAUGUAAUGGUUACGCCUAGCUAUUUGAAUCUAGAAUUGGGUUACAUAGCAGUAGCAAUGACUUACGUAAUAUGCCUCAUGUUUAUAUCUGGUAGAAUUUAACACGUAUCUCCAACAUAUUUUGAGGCAGUAUAAAUUUCAAUUCCUUUUGCUGCUCUGUUAAAUCCCGUCUUUCGUGUGGCCCAACACUCUAGUAUGCAUGUAGCACCAAGCUUGUUUGAGCCGCUUUGUGCUCUGAUUUUGCUGUCUGUAUCAGGUUGGACUGUUUCUUUGUCUUGCGAUGUAUAGCUUCAUAUCUUCUAGAGGUUAGACAGCAAAACCCGCGUUCUCUUAAGGCAACAACUCGAAGAAUCUGCAGCGCUCCUGAUAUAUCACUGCUGCAGAAACAAUCUUUAGUACUGAUUUCCAACCCCCUUUAGUAUCGGUUUGGCAAUCAGUACCACUACGUCGGUACUAAAGGGAGUUCUCUAGAAUCGGGUCAAAUAACUGGUACUAAAAGUGCUCCUCUACUACCAGUUGGUAACACCAAUAGGUAGUAACUUUUUUUGCACCCAAAAAAUUAAAGAAAAACAGCCGGGAGGCUCGCGCACACACGCAUCAUGAGUAAUAUGCGCGUGCAUGGUUUGUGGGAUUCCAACCCACGACCAAGCUAUAAGCACGUAGUUACAAAAAAAUUAAACACUUAGACAUUUUAGAGCAUCCCAAAUAACUACAAAUUCUUUAGUUUACCAUAUACCAUAAAAUAUUAGUUAAAAUAAGAGCAUACGCACGUCGGAAGAGUCCCAAUGCACCGGUUGAGGAUCAGACCAGGCACUUUGAAUGCACAUGCCAUAAGAUAAUUCUGCAGGACGAUGAUUGCAAUAAUGGACCAUCGAGAAGAUAGGGGCGAUGGGGUUGCCUCAUCAAUUAUGACUUGGCGCAACAAGACCAGCAAAGUCUUUAUCGACAGGGGUGGAUCAAGGGGUGGGGCGGGUAGAGCUCCAAUCUUCCUACCGCCGCUCGAACAAUGGAGCCCCCCUUAGCCCCUCCAUAAAUUUUUAGGUAGAAGAAAAAAGAAGAGAAGGGAAGGAAGGGGAAGAAUAGGGAGCCCCUCCUAAGUAGGUCGCCAUCGUGCUUCCCAACGCAUGAUCGCCGCACCGCAUCCAUUCCUCUACAAGCCUCCAGCGUCUCUCCUGCCGCUACCUCUGAACCAUGUGCAGCUGCAGACCCAACUAGUGUCUUGUCACCCAUCUCAAUCCCAACAGAGCGGCGGCUCCUGCCAGCACAAAUCUCCCUCCGCCUGUUCUUCACGAUCGAUGGCCACCACAAGCAUAAACCUCGCCUUCGCAUCCACGCAAAAGGGUCGCCGGUGUGCCUUCUCGCAUCGCUUCUCAGCCUCCUUCACUUGCGGCUGGCCAAGAACCGUGCCACCACCUCGGGUGCGCGCCACCGCUCCAGGGCCGCUACCCCAUGCGUGCGGCCGCCGCCGGCCACCACGCGUGUGCAACCGUGUCGCACCGCUUCCCUGCUCUGUGCCACCACUGCUACUGCACCACCAGCUCCACCACCUUGGGCUGGUCGCCAGGGUGACUGAUUGGUGGAUUAUUACUACAAAUAAGUUCCUUAUUAUCUGCAACUACUAUUAACUCAGGGAUACAUGCGUCUUUUGCUUCUCCUGUUAAUAUGUCCUAAAAUAUCUAGAAUGCCUUAUAUUUCUGGACGGAGGAAGUAUUUGAAUAAAAUGAACCAAUUUUAAAAAAUGUGUUGUACACUACUACAGAAAGAACUAUCAGUGUCAAACCCAAAAAUGUCGUCACUGCCAGUUUUGGGCAUCGUUGGUGAAAGGUUGGCGGUGAUGGGUAUCCCCUUCAACAACGGCACUAGAGCUAACAGUGAUUGACAUUAGAAAACGAAAAAGGGGACCCACCUAGCCACCCCUGCAACCCGGCUGGCCGUGCCUCCCGUCAUCCCCACCACCUCGCCUCCCCCGUGACCCCCCGCCGGCGCCCUUGCGCCUAGCCCCCUCGCCUGCCUGGCCGGCCACCCUCGUCACGAGAGAGAGGGGUGCAUGUUGUAUAAUUGCGUGAAUUUUUAAUGUUUAAUUUCAUGUAAGUUUCAUAUAAUAAAUUGUACAAGUUUUAUUGUAUAUAUGAAUUCCAUAUAUAUAUAUUUAUAAUUUAAUGUAUGGUUUCAUGUGUAUAUUUCAAUAAUGUGUAUAUUUAGUAGAUAGCCGAUUUUCUUUUUCUACAAGACAAGGGUUGAUGUAUAAUUACGUGUAUAUGUUUAUUGUACGGGCAAUUAGGACAAGUUUUGUAUAAAUUUCUUUUAUUUCAUGGUUGUUGUAUGGUUUCAUGUAUAUACAUUUAUUGUACUACUUGAGACAAUUUUUAAUUUAAUGUUUCUAUGGUUACAUGUGUGUAUAACUAAUUGUAUUAUUAGUUAAGAUGGGAGCCAAAGAGGAUGAAAGGUAUAUAAUGGAGCAGAUUAUUGCUGGCGGUAGUGGCUCAAACGUUGCAAGAACCUACAUCAAGGGUGAGGGUAGCUAGGUGGACAUGUACCUCAACAUGUCCAGUGAUGGCAAUGACGAUGAGGAGCACGAGCAUGACGUUUAUGAUAGUGCGGAACAAGACAUUGCAGAAUUGGAAGGUUCUAAUGAGGUGUGCUUCAUGUUGAUGAUCUGGUUGGCUUUUUUUCUUUGGUCACACCUUAGUUACCAUAGAACUUCGUCUCGGGAGAAGAUUGGAGGUGCUAUGGUGAUUGGAAUUUUAUUGCCUCCAAAUAUGAUUUCCAUCGAAUCAUAUCCCUUGUAUUUAUCUUCUUUUUAUUUGUGAGAGCAUCUUCUUUAUGCUUGCAAAACAAUUCAAGUGCACAUACUACACCUAGGGUGAUGAUUAGGAGUAGAAACAAUUGCCAACAAACGAACACCACAUCCUAAGAUUCUUAACUUGUGGUAUAAUUAGUCUAGUAAAAAGAAAGAUAAAAACCUAAUGGGUGUACGUGAGUGCAAUGCGUAUAUGCAUAUGAGUGGAAGGCAUAUAAGCAAAGAUAAUAUUUACACAUAGAUCUAAGCACCAUGUUUACAACUAAGUUGCUGAAUUUCUCCAUAGCUAUAGAGAUUAAUGAACCAAGGUCAAAACACCAUGUCUAUCCCAAGAUCAGUAAUUCUUUAUAGCACAAGAAAAAGAAAGCGCAUUGCAAAGUUUAUAAACCAACCAAUGCAGCAUGAAAACAAGAUGAAUAGCUAGCAAGGUUUAUUAAACUGAAUGAUGACGGUCUGCAAGCAAGUUUGAACACCAUCUUUACACAAGAUUGCAAAUGGAAAAUUCCCAUAUGAAGAACUAACAUGGAUAUGAAAUCAUUCAUCAUAAAGCGUAAAGAACAACCAAGCCAACCAUAUGCAAAGCAUGAAUGGAAUGCAAUGAAGGUGCAAGAGAACAUUUUUGGAUGAACCCAUUAUGAUGAUGGCAAAAUGCGCCGUGCCCCCCAGCCCCCGCGGUGAGAUCCCGCCGCUCGCUGCCGCCAGACCCUAUUAGGCCUCCACCGGCAGGUCCACCCACGGUCCCGCGCGACGUGGCAGCCUCUUGGCUCUCGGCGCUCGCGGCACGCCAGUGCUGGCGCAGCCCCACCAGGCGACUACCCUCCCCCCAUAAGGCCUCGGCCCCUCCCCAGCGCCGCCCCCCAACACCAGGACUGCCUGCUGCCCCCCACCGUGAGGUAAUCGAAAUCGACUGCUCAAUCUCUCAAUCUGUUGAUAUGAUGCACACGGUUGCAAAAAUAGAUGUGUCAAAAUAGAUGUUUUGCCAAUUGCUAUAGAUGCAUACGGUUGACAUGAAGUCAAAAAUGACAUUUGGUUCCUUGUAGGCAGUCAAAAAUGAAGAAGUCAAAAAAUAUUGAUCUGAAAUCAAUGUGGGAAAGGGCUAUGAAGACACGCAGGUAGAUUCCCUUGUGAACUUUUUAUGUCGUUCGUCUAAAUAAUUUUUUGCAAUGGGCAUACCCUACUCUGAAAUCCUGGGUCCGCCACUGAUGAUGAUGGUCUAAAAAUAAACCAAGCCUAGAUUAAUUAGCCACAACUGAAAUUAAGCAAAGGUUAAUGUCAUUGACCCUAGCUCUAUCCUAGCUUUUACCAAAGUUCCGGCACAUAUAGUGGUUGGGCCCACUCUCUCUGCUUCCCUCUCUGCUGCAUGCACGCACACGAGCAACGGGAGGCCCGACGAAGCCCAGAAGGGUUCGGCCGAACCAGUAUGAGCGCCGCUCCCUCCCAGCCUUCGCGCAGAUGCUCCUCCAACGUUCCUUGACCCCUCCCUCAGCGUCCCGUUGGGUUUAACAUUGCAGGAGAGGAGUCCCUUUUUUAAAAUCUCAACCACCUCCUCUCCCCAUUCACUCCACUCUCAUCUCCAUCAAACUCACCAAGAUCCGCACCGGAAAUCCCUGCUUACCACCAUGGCUGGCAAAGCCCUCAUCCCUUUCACCAACUUGGGCUUGACCACUGAUCUCGAUGGGGAAAUCACUCUGGCAAAUAUGCGUGUAACACUGCCCCCUUUGCCGAGGGUUAAAGCCAAAACACUCAGCAAAGUGGAUAGUACCCCCCUUUUUACCCGUUUUGUCAUGUAUAACGGACCCCUCUCAAUUCACAAUAGACAUCAUCAUAGGCAUUUAUAAUAAACAAUCACAGGCAUAAUUCACAAUCACCAUUACAAGCAUUAUUCAUAAAUAUCACAGACAUAAUCCAAAGUAAGCAUGAAACAAGCCAUAAAUCCAAGUUCAAGUCACAACUAAGUUUCAUCCAAGUUCAAGUCACAAAUGCAAUGUCUAAAUCCAUGGAGGCCAAGGAGACCACUGCGACAAAUCUUGGUCUUCAUUAUUCGAAGCCGCCGAUUGAUUCUGCACAUAGGAUAGGACAUUCUGAGCUAACAUCUAAAGUUGUCAAAAUUAAAGUAUUCAAUCUUAAGCACAAUGUGUCAAAUGACUCACAGGAGUAGUUGUGGGUGGCUGAGGCGGAGGGAACAGCAUCGAUGGCGGUGGCAAAGAUUGACCCAUGCUCGAAGCAAAAUUCUGCAUGUACUGGAACAUCUGGUCCAUCCUCAUCCGAUUUUCUUCCUCCAUCCUCUGCCGCUCGGCCUCUAACCUCCGCUGAACCAUCUGCUCCAUCCUCGCCGCCAUCUCCUCUUGUUGCUUCCUUGCUGCUUCCACCUGGGCCUACAAUAUUUCAUUGCAAUGUUACAAUGCAAAGCUAAAGUAUAGCAACCAACGAACAAUGAAUGGAAGAGAAAGAACCUGGAGAGCCUCCAUCUGGAACUGUCCAAUGGUUGGUCGUAGCCGUAUCGCCGGGCUCGAGUCCGUGCUCCUUGCUUGGAUCUGGGAGAGAGUGGCAGUAGAGGCCGUGUUGAUUACGCCGUCGCCAAUCCAAUAUCGGCCAUGCUUCUUGCCUCCUCCCACCCUCAUCACGAUUUCUCCAUCAAUAUCCUCAGAGCUUGAAUCGAAGUCUGGCCCGUGAACCUCCCUUGCCAUCACUGUAUAUUCCUUUGCCGAGUGCCCGAGAUAAAGCACUCGGCAAAUAGAAAACACUCGGCAACUUUACUGUUUCCCGUAGUGUCGCUAUUUUUGCAGGUUCUCGACCAGGCCAGUUCUUUGGGCCAACCUAUCAUUCACGACUUAAACAUACGGUGGCUGUAGAAAUGUUCUAUUCUUUUCAACAAUACCAGCUGGUUCCUCCGUUUUUAUUCCACCAAUACAAGCACCACCUUGUAACAUUUCCUAUGUUUUUUUUUCCUUUCGUCUGUUUUCUACAUGCGUUGCUCUUUCAUGCAUUUUUUUCCAUUCCUGUAUUCCAAAUAGGUCUACAUGAACACAAAAUGAACUAGGGGACAGAAAAAGCCAGUGAAGCCAAUUUUGAGCUUCACCAGCUACUUGCUACAUAAAGUGUGCUAUAGUGACGUGUUUUAGCAAAACAUGUUAUCAAUGACUUGACAUUGGUGACGUGUUAAAACGCGUUAUCUCAAUGGCAAAUCAUUGGUGACGUGUUUUAAAAAAACAUGUCACCGUGAGAGUCAUUGGUGAAGGGUAAUUAUAAUGCGUCACUAAUGUUGUAGCAUUAGUUAUGAUAAUUUAGUAACGCAAAAAUCUACCAUCAGUAUUGAGCUUUAGAGCCAUCGCUAAUGUGGGUUUCUUACAUAGUGAUGCAAGCUCUACAAGGUGCUGUUGCUGCCAUUUUAAAGCAUCCCAUGACUACAUGUUAAUAACAUAGUUUACCAUAUAUCAUAAAAAUAUUAGUUACAAUAAGCACAUACGCAUGUGGAAGAGUCCGAAUGCACCGGUUGAGGACUAAACACAUUGAAUUACUAGAACCAAAUGUGUGUUUAGAACAAAGACAGGGGUCAAGGUUUGGGUAACCGCAUUAAAAACAUUGGAUUUUACUGUACAUGAACACUUAGUUACCAUUACCAUGCCUUGAGCACCUAGUUACAACAAACAUUAAUUUAGCCACUUUAGAGCUUCCAGAAUCGCUAUAAAUAAUAUACCUACGCCGUACCAUGAAAACAUCAAGAAGAGAGACGGAUACAUGGACCACCAUCAAGCGAGUAGUGACAGCACGCACAAGAAUACCCGGAACCUGUUAGCUUGUCUGUAGUGAUCUGUUUUCUUCCCCAUAAAAUCCAUGAGUAUUGCCACAAAUAAUGAAAGAGGCUGACCAAGCUAGCAAGGAGGUAGAGCAAACGUGAUACACGGCCUGCCAAGAUUGCCCUGGAUACGCCAAUAAGAGCGACAGAUACAUGGAUCACACCAAUAUGGUGAAACGUAUAUUCAUCACACAAGCAAAGCUGGUCAGUUUAUCCAUGGUCAAAUUGUGGUCUUUGUUUUCACUUGAGAGCUAAUUGAGGCACUAUAAUAUGGGCAGGCCUAUCUUCAACAGACAUGACAGCUACAGGGAACUUGACAUAAUUUGCUGGGCCGCCUGUGCACAAUUAUUUGUUUUAUUGUCCUUGCAUAGAAUGCUAAAAUACUCUUUACAAAAUGUUGGAUCUAAUAUUUGAAAUAUAGAGUAGUAAUCAUAUAUUGAUCAACAACUUGAAAUUAUCUGUACAUUCUCGGUGAAGCUGUUGAACUAAUUUUUGCAAAUUAUUAAUUCAUCUCAUUACGUAAAGAAAAAAGUAAGUGGAUAAGAUAUUUCGUGGACCACAUCACUGCAAACAUGUCAUGGAGAGACAGACCAAGGAGGCAGGACGUGAUACACGACUUACCCUAGGUUGCCGUGGAACCGCCAAGAAGAGAUACAGAUACAUGGACCACACCAUCUUGGGAGUAGUGACAGCAUAUAUGCAGAAGAAUACCCCGUGCCUAUUUGCAUGCAUGUCUCAAGUGAUCUGUUUUCUUCAGAAAAUACAUGAGCAUUGCCAGAAAGAAUGGCAAGAGACAAACAUGUCAUAGAGACUUGCAUGUCUUGCCUUGGAUACGCCAAGAAGAGGGACACAUACAUGGAUAACACAAAUCUAGUGACACGUAUAUUCAUCACAAAGGCAAAUCUGAUAAUUUUAUCCAUGGAGCAGACCAAGGAGAAAUUGAUGACGGACAUGUGAUCUCUGUAUUCAGUUGAAAGCUAAUUGAGCUACACUAAUAUGAGCAGGACUAUAUUCAAGAGACUUGUUGAGAGCUACAGGGAACUUGUAAUAAUUUGCUGGGCGGCCUGCGCACAAUGAUUUGUUAUACAUAGUUGAAAUAUUUCAAGAAUUUAUCAACCUCAUACUCUGAAACCCUUGGUGCAAUGUACUCUGCUUUCCGAGGUAGACUGUUCACGUAAAAUGAGGUCAUGCGUAAGACGGAAUCGGAUUGGAUUCACAGGGAAUCAGAUUUGGAUAGCACCUUUUAGCAGGUUUUUAGUCAAAUGCAAAUUCGGAUCCACAUGUGGUUGAAUGCGAGUUCAAAAUUCUACUUGGAUAUCCAUUUAAUUUAGGUGAUAGCAAUUAGCACAAAAUGUUGGAUGAACAAAAUCAUAGUUAGACAUACAAUUACAUGUAUGGUUAAAGUAUAAUACAAUACACCAAGAUUAUUCCUUGAAAAUAUUUCUUAAAAAUAUUAUAAUAAAUGAAUAAAUAUAAUUGUGGCCACCAACAAAUAGUCGGUGGUCGCUAAGUUGGAGCCAUUUCUGGUUACUAAUGCGGCCUUCUCCUCGACCAGCGACGACAGCUGAGCUUGUUCCUUCUGACACUAAAUCAUCAGAGUCUUCCCUCCACUACUAUAGAAUGCACCUUUAGCACCAAUUGGGAAAUCCCCUUCAGUAUUGGAUGCUGCAACCAGUGCUAUAUAUCAAAAUGGAGACUAAAAGCCUCGGUCUUGGGUACCGGUUGCAUAACGCAUUACUAAAGGAGGCAAAAGAGAAAUGUAACAAAAAAAAUAUUUUGAAUUCCAAGAAUGUUUCACUAUUCAAGAUGACUAGCUGAGAGUCAACAGACAAGAUACUAGGAAUGUGGGUGCUUGAAUGCAUUUGUACAGAGGUCAUACUAUUUACAAACUCUUCUAUGUUUCCAUAUGACUACCUACUUCAAUGUCACGCGAGCCAUUCAGCUGGACACAUGGCACACUAGCUUGCAUGUCGAAUCCAUGAUUAAUUAUUUCCACUUGUGAUCUCUUACCAGUAUUUGUCCAGACUAGAAACGUGCAACACAUUUUUAGGAUAUGGACACGCAUAUAUUUGGACUAGUAUACAGGUCACCUUUGGAUGCGUACAAGGAUGACCGGGAGGGACUAGAAAUGGUCUAGUUUUGAUUGGACUACAAAACUUUUUGUACAGUGAAUAGAGAAUAUAUAUUAUUGUUGGAAUACGAGGUAGGCUACACUAUCGCAAUUCUGAUAUUCUACCGCGUAUAACCAAGAAGAACUGUCGUAUAAGGAUCACGGGAUUACCACUCGACGCACUACUGGUGCGGAAGAUGUAGAUAUGCGUCGAUGCAGUGAAGACGAUCACGUAGUCGUAUGUAGUCGAUCAACGUAGUCGUACAUAGUCGAUCACGUCCAGCAGCUCCUCAGCAGCUCGUCCACGUGCAGCAAGAUCGCCUCCGGUACCGCGGCUCGUCGUUGGCUUGUCGUGGCUCGUCGACGGCUCGUCGGCGGCUCGUCCAAGUGCUGCAGGCGCAACACCUCCAAGGUAUCCACACGUGCAGGGAGGAAGCGUCGCAAGCCGGACUGCUAGAUCCACGAGUUGCAACAGGCGAGGGCGUGGGAGGCGCGGCAGGUGUGUUUCGCCAAAAAGGUGUAAACCCUAGGGCGCCCCCACCCCUCUAUUUAUAGAGGUUCCUGACGGGCCUCUGGAUCCGAGGCCCAUUAGUACUUCUAAACCUAAUCCAACUCGGAUCAGAUCCGAAUUGGGCUUCCAGCCCCUUAAGUGUGUGACCCUAUAAGUUCGGAUACGUAUAGACAUGGCCCGAGUACUCCUACUCGGCCCAAUAGUCGGUAGCGGCCUCUAGCAAGACGUGCCAACUCCUAUACGCACACGAAGAUCAUAUCAGACGAACCAUCACAACAUAAUAUACAUGCUAUUCCCUUUGCCUCACGAUAUUUGGUCUAGCUUCAAGCCGACCGCUCUUUCUCAGUCCUGUGAUUCGGAAUCCCUUUGUAGGUUAACUCUUAACCGUACGUAGCAUGGCCAUGCAUUUUCGGAUCUGAUCACUCGAGGGGCCCAGAGAUAUCACUCUCAAUCAGAGAGGGGCAAAUCCCAUCUUGAUUGACCAUGUCUCAUAGCAUGCUUCUUGACAAACCUAAAAACUACCUUUAUAACUUCCCUGUUACGGCGUAGUGUUUGAUAGCUCCUAAGUAGGUCGAUCCACAUCUAGAAUACAUGCGACAAUUUCAGGUCUAAGGACAAAGCGUAUAUGUUGUUUAAAGAGAGAACUACUUCUCGUGUUGGGUCAGUCCCAGCACAUGUCUCCACAUGUGUCCACAUUAUUAGUUCAACAUCUCCAUGUCCAUGACUUGUGAAACAUAGUCAUCAACUAAUACAUGUGCUAGUCUAAUAUUCAUGUGUGUCCUCACAUGAACUCCGACUAGGGACAACUUUAGAAUAACCAUACAAGUAAAGAGUUUCACAUACAAUUCACAUAAUUGCAAAUCAAUUCAAGUAGCCUUCAAUGGAUAUUCAAUGAACACAACAUACAAAUCAUGGAUACAAAUGGAAUAUCAUCAUCUCUAUGAUUGCCUCUAGGGCAUACCUCCAACAGUCUCCCACUUGCACUAGAGUCAAUCUAGAAGGUACCUAAUACCCAUAGCUCUUACAUGCGCAUCAUGCUUAGCCUGCGGGAGUGGUUUUGUCAACGGAUCAGAAAUGUUCAGAUCCGUGUGUAUUUUGCAUAUCUUGAUCUCACCCCGGUUAACGAAGUCUCGAAUGAGAUGAAAUCGCCGCAUUACAUGUUUGUUCUUCUGGUGGUUCCUUGGCUCCUUUGCUUGCGCAAUUGCCCCAUUGUUAUCACAGUAGAGAUUCAAUGGGCUGGACCCAUUCGGGAACACACCAAGCUCAAUGAGGAAAUUCCUUAUCCAAACACCUUCCUUCGCGGCUUCCGAAGCCGCGAUGUACUCGGCUUCUGUCGUAGAAUCGGCCACCGUCUCCUGCUUGGAACUCUUCCAACUAACAGCACCACCAUUUAGCGUGAACACAAAUCCUGUUUGUGACUUUGAAUCAUCUCUGUCGGUUUGGAAACUAGCAUCGGUGUAACCUGUUACAACGAGCUCCUCCUCACCUCCAUAGACGAGGAAUAUAUCUUUAGUCCUUCUCAAGUACUUAAGAAUGUUUUUCACCGCUGUUCAGUGACUCUCACCUGGAUCAGAUUGGUGUCUGCUUGUCAUACUUAGCACAUAUGAAACAUCUGGGCGAGUACUUAUCAUUGCAUACAUGAUAGAUCCAAUAGCCGAGGCAUAUGACACUCUACUCAUGUGAUCCCGCUCAUCAGCAGUCGAAGGACACUGAGUCUUGCUGAGAUGUAUGCCAUGUGACAUAGGCAAGAACCCUUCCAUGCUGAACCGCUUCAACACUUUGUCAAUGUAAGUAUCUUGGCUUAAACCUAUAAGCCUUCUCGAUCUAUCUCUAUAGAUCUUAAUGCCCAGAAUAUAUGCCGCUUCCCCUAAGUCCUUCAUCGAAAAACUAUUUUUCAGUGAAGUCUUUAUGGACUCAAGCAUAGGAAUGUUAUUUCCAAUCAGUAAUAUGUCAUCCACAUAUAAGAUUAGAAAUACUACAGAGCUCCCACUAACCUUCUUGUAAACACAAGACUCUUCUUCGUUCUUGGUGAAGUCAAACCCUUUGACCACUUCAUCAAAACGAAUGUUCCAACUCCUAGAUGCUUGCUUCAAUCAAUAAAUGGAUCUCUGAAGCUUGCAUACCUUUCCAGCAUUUUUCGGAUCGACAAAACCCUUGGACUGUAUCAUAUACACGUCCUCAGUUAGGUUUCCAUUCAGGAAAGCUGUCUUGACAUCCAUCUGCCAUAUCUCAUAAUCGAAAUAUGCAGCCAAACUUGAUUGUCUCCCAUGGACUCUAUUUCGGAUUGCAUGGCAUUCUGCCAUUUUUCGGAGUCUGGGUCCAUCAUUGCUUCUGCAUAUGUCACAGGCUCAUCAUUGUCCAACAAUAAUAUUUCCUGCAUUUCGCGGAGCCUUGCCGACCUUCGUGGUUGUGGCGGUGCUUCUCUUGCCAUGGGUAUCUCAACUUGUUCUGCUACGUUAGCAUCACUCAUUGAUUCUUGCCCGAUCGGCUCAUCUUGAACUUCUUCAAGAUGCACUGUCUUUCCACUCUUUUCUCCUUUGAGAAACUCUUUCUCUAGGAAAACCCCGUUCCGAGCGACAAACACUUUGCCUUCUGAUCAGUUGUAAAAAUAAUAUCCCAAAGUUUCCUUUGGAUAUCCCACGAAAAUGCACUUAUCCGACUUGGGUGCGAUCUUGUCCGACUGAAGUCGCUUGACAAACACAUCACAUCCCCAAAUCUUUAGAAAAGACAAACUAGGAACCUUUCCAGUCCAUAUCUCAUAUGGUGUCUUAACUACGGAUUUAGAUGGUACCCUAUUAAGUGUGAAAGCUGCUGUUUCUAGAGCGUAUCCCCAAAAUGACAACGGUAGGUCCGACUGGCUCAUCAUUGAUCGAACCAUGUCUAACAAAGAUCGAUUACGUCGCUCGGACACACCGUUUCUCUGAGGUGAUCCAGGCGGCGUAAGUUGUGGAACAAUUCCGCAACUCUUUAGAUGAUUGCUAAACUUGUGGCUCAAAUACUCGCCUCCACGAUCAGAUUGUAAGGCCUUAAUUUUCUUGACACGCUAAUUUUCAACUUCAUUCUGAAAAUCCUUGAACUUUUCAAAGGUUUCAGACUUGUGCCUCAUCAAGUAGACAUAGCCAUAUCUACUAAAAUCAUCAGUGAAAGAUAUGAAGUAUUGGAAUCCUCCUCUAGCCGUCGUGCUCAUUGGUCCGCAUACAUCACUAUGUACGAGUUCCAACAAGUCUACUGCUCUCUCAGGAAAUCCUGUGAAAGACGUCUUGGUCAUCUUGCCUAGCAAGCAAGCCUCACAUGUCUCGUAUGAUUCAAAAUCAAACGAAGUUAGAAGUCCAUCAGAAUGGAGCUUCUUCAUGCGUUUUUCACUUAUAUGACCCAAACGACAAUGCCACAAGUAGGUAGGACUCAAAUCAUUAGGCCGAGGCCUUUUAGCACUUACAUUACAGACAGGUGAACCAUCAAGAUUUAAAACAAAUAAUCCAUUCACAAUGGGUGCAAAAGCCAUAAACAUAUUAUUCUUAGAGAUCACACAACCAUUGUUUUCACUCGCAAAUGAAUAACCAUCCUUCAUCAAGCAUGAAGGAGACAAAAUGUUUCGACUUAAACUAGGAACAAAAUAACAAUUAUUCAACUCCAUAAUAAAUGCUGACGGGAGGUGGAGUUGCAUCGUCCCGACGGUCAACGCAGCAACUCUUGCAUUAUUGCCCACGCGGAAAUCAACUUCUCCUCUUUCCACGCUUCUACUUCUUAUCAUUCCCUGCAUCGAAUUGCAAAUAUGAGCAACCGAUCCGGUAUCAAAUACCCAAGAAUUAAUAAUUGUAUCAGCGAGAAAUAUGUUGUCUAUGACAUUAACAACAAGCGUACCUGAGGUAGAAGUACUCUUACUUCCUCCAUUCUUCAACGAAGCUAGGUACUGCUUGCAGUUUCUCUUCCAGUGACCAAGUUCAUGACAGUAAAAGCACUCUUUGUCUGGAGCAGGUCCAGGUCCAGCUUUAACCUUGGGCGCUCGCUGGGUUUGGCUUGGAAAUUCCAGCCUUGCCCUUCUUCUUCCAAGAAUUGCCCUUCUUCUUAAAGCUAGGCUUGUUCUGUAUAGCCAUCACAUGGCUAGUACAAGCGCUUUUCUUGAUGUCUACCUCUGCUGUCUUGAGCAUACCACACAGUUCAUUCAAACCCUUCUCCGUCCCAUGCAUAUGGUAGUUCGAGAUGAAGUUCCCAUAGCUAGGCGGAAGAGAUGAAAGAAUGAAGUCAGUGGCCAACUCUUUGCCCAUUGGGAAGCCCAGCUUCUCCAAUCGCUGAGUGUAACCAACCAUGUUGAUUACAUGUGGUCCUACUGCUGCGUCUUCUGCUAGCUUGCACUCCAGAAAAGCUUUGGACACAUUGAACCUUUCAGUCCUAGCCUGUGUCUGGAACAUGUCCUUGAGCGCCACGAUCAUAUCGUGUGCCUCAUGAUUUGUUUCGAACUGCAUCUGCAGCUCGGGUUCCAUGCAAGCAAGCAUAAGGCAGCUUACCUCAAGAUUAGCAUCAAAUGCCUUCUUGUAAGCAGCCUUAACGGCAGCAGAUGCAUCAUCAGCAGGUACUGGUGGUAGUGGGGUAUCUAGAACAUCUUCCUUUUUAUCGGCCCUGAGAACAAUUCUCAGGUUACGGAUCCAAUCCGAGUAGUUUGUUCCAUUCAACUUGUCCUUCUCAAGGACCGAGCGCAAAGCAAACGAUGUGGUGGUGUUGCUAGGUGCCAUUUAAUCUACAACAAAAGUAAUGCAAAAUACACUAAGACAAACGUAUCCAUGAUAGAGCAAAUUACAUUAAACUAUUUUAACAGAAUCUACUCCCACUAAAAUCAAUAUCCCUCUAUUGAAACUUAGUGAUUCAGGAUCCACAACUAACAAGUCUACUAGUGAGCUUUAGCAUCACCGCUAGCAAACGAGGUAGAUCGGUAAGCAACUUUUGCUAAUCAUAUCACAUAUGACUCCUGUUGUUGGGUGACAUCUCCAUGUCUCGGCGCCCAACCAUUAUGCCCCAAGGUCCUUAACCGUUAAGAUGACCUCGUUAAGCAAACCAACCCUUAUGCGUGUAAGUGUCCGACACAAACCCGUCUAGUCAAGGAAAACUAGUGGCACCCUAAUUUCAUAGACCCACCACUAAUUGUACAAGACAUGGGACGGUGCAAGUUUUAGUUGGGAGGGCAUACUAACUUAAAUUUUUUGUGAGGGAUCGUUCUACUUCUAACAUCACAGCAUGCAGAAAGUAAAACAUAAACAGAAUAGCAUUCACACAGCUGUGACACAGUAUGGCCCGUUUUUAUAUGGUGAUCUCCAUCUCCAUAGAACCUGUUCACCAUGGUGAUCUCCAUCUCCAUGUUCCAUGUGCGCCAUCCUCCUGGUGAGGAGUCCUCCAAGAACUAGAACAUGCUAUUACACCUAAUAGCUAGUAAAGAAUCUAGUAAUGAAGAUUACAUAGUUGCUUGGAUCAUCACAGAUUGGUACGCAGACCAUUAAAUACAAUAAAGUGACAACACAUAUGGCUCCUGCCGUGUUGCCGUACGCGCGACACGCAGGUCACGAAUGAGUUACACACAUGCAUCACAUACACAAGGGGGCCAUACUGAUCACAAGAUACAUACAUACAUCCUGCAAAACAGAGUUAGGCGUCCUAACGUUCCAAACUUCGAAGGCCCGAAACUCCAUCUUCCAAGCCGAAUUUGGGAAAUCUAAUUUUGCCGAAAACGGCAAAGCGGUUGAAUUUCAUGUGUAACUUUUUCUGUAGAUCAAUUUUCAUAUAAAAUUCGCCCCGAUCCGAGAUCGUACCGAAAAGUUACGGCUGAUUUACCGAAGCAUACGCAUACGGCAAAAAUUCCGACCCCGGCAGUAGAUCCCAUCUACUAUUGCACAUCUAAUGCGCCUGGCGUAUGAUCCUGGAUUUCGAUUCGACCAAUCAUAUUGAUCUUCGCUCACUGCAACUGGAAUUACGUGUAUCACUUAACUCGUCGGCGGCUCGUCGGCGGCUCAUCCAAGUGCUGCAGGCCCAACACCUCCAAGGUAUCCACACGUGCAGGGAGGAAGCGUCGCAAACCGGACUGCUAGAUCCGCGAGUUGCAAUAGGCGAGGGCGUGGGAGGCGCCGCAGGUGUGUUUCGCCAAAAAGAUGUAAACCCUAGGGCGCCCCCACCCCUCUAUUUAUAGAGGUUCCUGACGGGCCUCUGGAUCCGAGGCCCAUUAGUACUUCUAAACCUAAUCCAACUCGGAUCAGAUCCGAAUUGGGCUUCCAGCCCCUUAAGUGUGUGACCCUAUGGGUUCGGAUACGUAUAGACAUGGCCCGAGUACUCCUACUCGGCCCAAUAGUCGGUAGCGGCCUCUAGCAAGACGUGCCAACUCCUAUACACACACGAAGAUCAUAUCAGAUGAACCAUCACAACAUAAUAUACAUGCUAUUCCCUUUGCCUCACGAUAUUUGGUCUAGCUUCAAGCCGACCGCUCUUUCUCAAUCCUGUGAUUCGGAAUCCCUUUGUAGGUUAACUCUUAACCGUACGUAGCAUGGCCAUGCAUUUUCGGAUCCGAUCACUCGAGGGGCCCAGAGAUAUCACUCUCAAUCAGAGAGGGGCAAAUCCCAUCUUGAUUGACCAUGUCUCAUAGCAUGCUUCUUGACAAACCCGAAAACUACCUUUAUAACUACCCUGUUACGGCGUAGCAUUUGAUAGCCCCUAAGUAGGUCGAUCCACAUCUAGAAUACAUGCGACAAUCUCAGGUCUAAGGACAAAGCGUAUAUGUUGUUUAAAGAGAGAACUACUUCUCGUGUUGGGUCAGUCCCAGCACAUGUCUCCACAUGUGUCCACAUUAUUAGUUCAACAUCUCCAUGUCCAUGACUUGUGAAACAUAGUCAUCAACUAAUACAUGUGCUAGUCUAAUAUUCAUGUGUGUCCUCACAUGAACUCCGACUAGGGACAACUUUAGAAUAACCAUACAAGUAAAGAGUUUCACAUACAAUUCACAUAAUUGCAAAUCAAUUCAAGUAGCCUUCAAUGGAUAUUCAAUGAACACAACAUACAAAUCAUGGAUACAAAUGGAAUAUCAUCAUCUCUAUGAUUGCCUCUAGGGCAUACCUCCAACAAUUAUUUCAUGUAAAUUUUUGACAAUUUUUUAAAAUUGUUUGAUAUUUUUUAAAUUUUUUUUAAAAUAACUUUGCCGAGUGUCCUAUUGUAGACACUCGGCAAAGCAGCCUUCACCGAGUGUUACCCCUGGGACACUCGGCGAAUUAAUGCCCGGCCGCUCAAGAAUAUGUGCCCGGCCCCCUCACUCUCCCGGCCCCCCUCACUCUCACUCCCCUCACUCCCUCCUCUCUCCCUCCUCUCUCCCUCUCGCCGCCGCCCGAAACCCCCGCCGCCGCCCGCCGCCCGGCAUGCCGCCCAGCGCCCCCCGCCGCCGCCCGGCGCUCCCGAAUCCGCCGCCGCCCGCCCGGCGCCCGGCCCCCGGAUCCGCCGCCGCCGGCCGCCCGGCGCCCCCGGAUUCGCCGCCGCCCGCCCGGCCCCCGGCCCCCGGAUCAGCCGCCGCCCGCCGCCCGGCGCACGGCGCCCCCGGAUCCGCCGCCGCCUGCCCGGCGCCCGGCCCCUGGCCCCCUGAUCCGCCGCCGCCCGCCCGGAUCCGCCGCCGCCCGCCCGGCGCCCGGCCCCCGGCCCCCGGAUCCACCGCCGCCCCCCCGGCCCCCGGAUCCGCCGCCCGCCCGUCCCCUCCACCGGAUCCGCCGGCGCCGGGGCCUGAAGAGAAGAGAAGAGGAGAGGAUGGUGGCGGCGGCGGCCGCGGCGGCGGAGCAGGUGGCAGAGCAUGCAUGAUUUUUUUUUAUUUUUUCAAUAAUUGUUCGCCAAGUGUUUUCUGGGCACUCGGCAAAGUCUUUGCCGAGUGCCCGACACAAAACACUCGGCGAACCAGUGUUUGCCGUCAAGAUUUUUGCCGUGUGUCGUUUGCCGAGUGUUACACUCGGCAAACGCUUUGUCGAGUGUUUUUGGGGUUUCGCGGAGUGACCCUGGCACUCGGCAUCACGCAUGUUUCCCUUAGUGAACUUGAAAUUAUCUGUACAUUCUCGGUGAAGCUGUUGAACUAAUUUUUGCAAAUUAUUAAUUCAUCUCAUUACGCAAAGAAAAAAGUAAGUGGAUAAGAUAUUUCGUGGACCACAUCACUGCAAACAUGUCAUGGAGAGACAGACCAAGGAGGCAGGACGUGAUACACGACUUACCCUAGGUUGCCGUGGAACCGCCAAGAAGAGAUACAGAUACAUGGACCACACCAUCUUGGGAGUAGUGACAGCAUAUAUGCAGAAGAAUACCCCGUGCCUAUUUGCAUGCAUGUCUCAAGUGAUCUGUUUUCUUCAGAAAAUACAUGAGCAUUGCCAGAAAGAAUGGCAAGAGACAAACAUGUCAUAGAGACUUGCAUGUCUUGCCUUGGAUACGCCAAGAAGAGGGACACAUACAUGGAUAACACAAAUCUAGUGACACGUAUAUUCAUCACAAAGGCAAAUCUGAUAAUUUUAUCCAUGGAGCAGACCAAGGAGAAAUUGAUGACGGACAUGUGAUCUCUGUAUUCAGUUGAAAGCUAAUUGAGCUACACUAAUAUGAGCAGGACUAUAUUCAAGAGACUUGUUGAGAGCUACAGGGAACUUGUAAUAAUUUGCUGGGCGGCCUGCGCACAAUGAUUUGUUAUACAUAGUUGAAAUAUUUCAAGAAUUUAUCAACCUCAUACUCUGAAACCCUUGGUGCAAUGUACUCUGCUUUCCGAGGUAGACUGUUCACGUAAAAUGAGGUCAUGCGUAAGACGGAAUCGGAUUGGAUUCACAGGGAAUCAGAUUUGGAUAGCACCUUUUAGCAGGUUUUUAGUCAAAUGCAAAUUCGGAUCCACAUGUGGUUGAAUGCGAGUUCAAAAUUCUACUUGGAUAUCCAUUUAAUUUAGGUGAUAGCAAUUAGCACAAAAUGUUGGAUGAACAAAAUCAUAGUUAGACAUACAAUUACAUGUAUGGUUAAAGUAUAAUACAAUACACCAAGAUUAUUCCUUGAAAAUAUUUCUUAAAAAUAUUAUAAUAAAUGAAUAAAUAUAAUUGUGGCCACCAACAAAUAGUCGGUGGUCGCUAAGUUGGAGCCAUUUCUGGUUACUAAUGCGGCCUUCUCCUCGACCAGCGACGACAGCUGAGCUUGUUCCUUCUGACACUAAAUCAUCAGAGUCUUCCCUCCACUACUAUAGAAUGCACCUUUAGCACCAAUUGGGAAAUCCCCUUCAGUAUUGGAUGCUGCAACCAGUGCUAUAUAUCAAAAUGGAGACUAAAAGCCUCGGUCUUGGGUACCGGUUGCAUAACGCAUUACUAAAGGAGGCAAAAGAGAAAUGUAACAAAAAAAAUAUUUUGAAUUCCAAGAAUGUUUCACUAUUCAAGAUGACUAGCUGAGAGUCAACAGACAAGAUACUAGGAAUGUGGGUGCUUGAAUGCAUUUGUACAGAGGUCAUACUAUUUACAAACUCUUCUAUGUUUCCAUAUGACUACCUACUUCAAUGUCACGCGAGCCAUUCAGCUGGACACAUGGCACACUAGCUUGCAUGUCGAAUCCAUGAUUAAUUAUUUGCACUUGUGAUCUCUUACCAGUAUUUGUCCAGACUAGAAACGUGCAACACAUUUUUAGGAUAUGGACACGCAUAUAUUUGGACUAGUAUACAGGUCACCUUUGGAUGCGUACAAGGAUGACCGGGAGGGACUAAUGGAUACAAGGAAGGGACCAUCAGGAUUAAUAUUGACAUAUGCCACAUGACAAUCUUCAUUGUCAUGCAAUCCCUAUCAACAAUCAUGGAAUCCCUAGUGUACUAAUCCCUGGAGGGUUGUGUGGAAAUUUAUUUUACCUUGCGGUGAAAAUCUCAUGAGCAGUCAUUAGUUAAGCUGACUAGCUGAGAUAUAAUAGACAAGCUAGUAAGAUUGGGAGCAUCAAUGCAUCCAUACAGGGUCACAAUAUCCUUUCCAUUCACUUUUAUAUAUAACCCUACGAAUACAAGUCCAACGAAAUGCGGGCCUUUCGAUCAAGAUAAAUUAAAUGGCCCACUUGUAUUUCUAAUCCAGGAUUAACUAUGCCCUCUGUUCAUCUCUUGCAAGCACGUGCAACACAUUUUCACGAUAUGGACAUGCAUGGAGGUUAUUAUACUGUUUGGACAAACUCUGAUGUGCCAUGACCUAAAUGCUUAGGGCCUGUUUGGUUUGAGUUGCUUAUUAUAAGCAACUUAAAGUUGCUUAAAGUUGCUUAUUUGAAGUUGCUUAUUUUUAGUCUAAACUGUUUGGAUACCCUUGCUUAUGAGCAUUGAAUGAGUUGGACAUUGUCAAAUUUGCCCCAUGUGUUGCUACCCCUCCAAUUUGCCUCCCCACCCUUCUUCUUCCUGCACACGUCCGAUCCCGGGGGCCGACGGCGGGCAGGGAGCAGCAGCAGCUGGCCAGGGCGGCGGUGGGGCGGGAGCGGCGGCGCACACCAGCACGCGCUCGCACGCCAGGUGCUAGGGCGCGGCGAGGCAGUCGUCGUAGCCCACCGGGAGCGGGUGCUCGGGCGCGAGGCGGUACUCGACGGAGAUGCCGAGCGUCGGGCGCGCGGCGGCGAGCGCGUUGAGGAAGCGAUGGUAGUGCGGCGACGUCGCGGACUCCGCCACGAAGCCGCCGCCGUGGACGUACACCACCACGGGCAGCUUCGUCUUGCCGUCGGCGGCCGCGGCCGCGGCCUGGGGUGGCAGGUAGAGGCGGACGGAGCAGGAGCCGAGGUCGACGUCCCUGGAGUCGACGCCCGUGGCGGCGUCCAGGCUAGGCCCGACCGGCGGCGGCACGAGCGGGCGCUCGAUGCGGCCGCUCUUGUAAAUCCGACGGGUCUGUGCGGAGGCGGGCGGCGGGCGGGAGCGGCGGGUGGGAGCGGCGGCAGGUGGUGCGGAGGCCGGCGGCGGCGGGUGGCGCGGAGGAAGGGGAGCUGGUGAGUGGUGACAGGGGAGGGGGGGAGAGAGAGGGGGGGGUAGGGUGCAUUGAAUGAGGGCAGGAGGUGUAAAGUGCACCUUUUAGUCCCCAUGAGCAACCAUAAGCAGCCCAAGAGUUGCUUAUUUGCUUAUAAUAAGCAACCUCAUAAGCAAGAGUGAUUGGUUUCAUAAGCAACUUAUUUGCUUAUUUUAAGUUGCUUAUGCAUAAGCAUGUGAAACCAAGCAGGUCCUUAACCUAUGGUUGUGGCACCACACAGUACAUAGUAUUUAAUAAUGCUAUUCGUUUGGUAUGUGCACAAGGGCACGCAUGAAAUGUCUGGCCCACGGUAAACAAGUACGGACGCUGCAAAUAAUCUACUCUGCUCGUCCAGUCCCUAGCCUAUAAAUAGAUGCCAUGCUAGCUCUUGUUGUGCUCACAAUUAAUCCUGACUACACACGAGCUUCUCUCCCUGGCCAAGACACAAUCAUAGUAUGAUGAAGAACAUGGCACUAGCCGGCAAUGGUAUGAAGAACUUAAUCCUCGCUGUUCUCUUACUGUGUCUAGUUAUAGGGCAGAUACAAGUGGAAGCUAAGAGCUGCUGCCCAUCCAUUACUGCAAGAAAUAUCUACAAUGCCUGCCGUAUCACGGGUACAUCCCGUCCAACGUGUGCAAAACUGUCAGGCUGCAAAAUUAUCAGCGGGGACAAAUGCAAGCCCCCUAACGACCACCUCACCCUUGACCCGGACACUGGUAAAUAAUAAAUUUAUCUCACUUGAUUUCUUCGUGUUUUGAGUCGUUAAUGUAUUUUCCAUCUGAUGAAACGUAUUGGUUUUGCAUUGAAGAGGAAGUUAAUGUGCUUAACUUCUGCAAGUUGGGGUGUGCGUCGUCUGUGUGCAACAACAUCAACGCUGGUAAGCACCUUUUGCUCAGACGGAGAAAACAAUAAUCAUUAAUUAGCGGCAGCUAGAAUCCUAUAAUCUAAUAUAUUUAUAUAUAUAUAUAAUUUUAUCAGCUCUGGGAAAUGAAGAGGCGAACGAUGCCGUUGAGAGUUGCGACCAAGCCUGCUCUAGCUUCUGCAACGUGCACGUUGGCGCUGCCACCGUGGUUGCUUAAGCAAAUGCAUCCAACUGGAUCGUCCUUGUGCUAAAUAAUUGGAUAUCGUAUCCACUUAAAGCUGCCUUGUGUAGUACGUUUUUGUUUGUGUCUCUCUUUAUAUUCCAAUAAGGUCGGUGAUCUUGAUGCCACACACUCAGACGUGUGUUCAUCUCCAGAUACUACUCCAUGCUACCUGCCCUUUGUGUUUUGUUCAAUAACUGGGUAUCAUAUCCCAGCCAGUGUGCCAUCUGUUUUGUGUUUAUUUCCUUCUAGUUUCAAAGGGGUUAUCAU